AACCGCUAAGAGAGGAAAGCUUCCACAAGGUGAUAUUGUACCAUCACUCUUCAAGUAAGGUAAUAUCUUAAGGUACUUGACUAUCACUUCUAUAAGCUUCUCCUUGGUUCUGGCGUUCACAUGAAUAAAAGAGACAAACAUGUAUGAUUUACAACUCUAGAUUAACCAACCCAAUUGAUUCAAUAUGUUUAGUCCUUCCACCUUUGUGAUCCCAUACUCCUAAUCAUAUGACCUAAAAUGUUGCACACUCAAUCUUUGGAAGAUAUAUUUUAUAAAAAAACAACAUAAAUAUAGAUAGAUUAUCUUUCCAUUAGGUUGAGCGAUCGGAUCUGACAAAUGUUUUAAAUGCUACACUCAUGAUUUUAUUAUCCAUCAACUUUGUCAUGCUCACUAUACUUAAGGUUAGAGAAGAACAAAUACACUUUUGGUUCUGUUGGUGUUUUCCACCAACAGGGCCCAUGCACUUGAUCUCUGCCUUGUCUCUAUAAGCAGGUACACUUCGAACAAAAUAUGAAGGAGUGUUACAACUCCCAGACUCCACCAAGUGAAGAACCUAGAUCUACGAGCACAAACACACUGGAGAUACUAGACAGUCAGGCAAUCACUGCCCUGAGAUGCUUAAGGACGUAACUUCUAGAGUAACACUAUUGUGGAAGUAAUUACUGACCUUCUGCCGGUCAAGAGAGGCAAUCCAGGACGCCCCGUCAUCCUGAUCUCCAUCGGCAUGGUGGACUUCCCAGAAGCACUCUGUGACUUUGGCUCCAGCGUCAACAUUAUGCACAGGGUACUCUAUGAAAAAUUCUUUACACAUCCUUUAUUAGAAACAUCCAUGUGUUUGCAGCUUGCAGAUUGGACACUAAGUUUCCCAAAGGGAAUAUUGAAGAUCCUCUACGUCCGAGUUGGUACCUUAUAUGCUCCAGCAGACUUCGUGGUGAUAGAGACUGGUACUGAUGAGAGGGCACUCAUCAUCUUAGGGAGGCCAUUCCUGAACACCUCGGGAGCUAUCAUCUACAUUAGUGCUGCCAAGAUCAGUUUCUACAUCAAGGGGAGGAAGGAGACGUUUUCCUUCAAGAACAAGACUACACAAAUCUCAGAGCAAUCCCGACAUGAACCAAGGAAGAGGACCAACAGGAGGGACAGGAACAAGCAAAUGUGGACCAAGUCAGCUAAGAUGGUCACUGCAGUUCAAGGAGGUCAAGAUCGUCAACUCAAGUCGCCUUUCUUGAUCAAGAAGGAUGACCCUGGUGUUCCAGGCAUCGAGUGCACAAUCAACGGAUAUUCUUUUCAGAAGACACUCUACGACACCGGAUCUAACGUCAACAUAAUGGCCUCAGUCACUUAUCAGAUCCUGCAUGGAACCAUGCCCCUAAAACCGACAUACAUUCAGCUCCAGAUGAUUUUAAGGUUAUUGACAUGGGAGAAGACGAAUUCGAUCCACCCGUCAUAAUUGGAAGACCGUUCCUCGGCACCGUUAAAGCAAUCAUCUACAUUGGAAUCGGAGAAGUCCACAUGAACUUCCCCUCUGAGAAGGUACGCCUCUAUUUUACUGACCCUAACUAUAUAGUUGAAGACUCUAAGCAGGUCAGGACAAGAAGAACACAACGCAACCGCAACCAGAGGAGGCAAAUUAUCAAGGACGGAUGGACAGACUACGAAGGAGAAGUAGUGAGGUCUGAAGACAUACAGCUUGAACAGAACUGUCCUGAGGAGACCGUAGCACCGAGUCAGGUGUGGAGAGAGAAGAUAGUUAUACACGAAGAGCAGGCUCUGCCGGAACCACCGACUAUGCCAUCCAGCGAAUCCCAGGACGAUUGAGAAAACAGAGAGUCCCGUUCGGAGGACUUAAAAACACCGAACGCCUUGCCAAGAGGUAAACUUGGUAGUUAUCCUUCUCCUUUCAAUUAUUUAAUAGUUUGCUUAGUUAAUCAGGUUCAUAUCAUCUUAAAAAGAAAAAGAAAAAAAUGUUAAAAAUAGUAAGCCCCAUGUGAGUAUGCUCAUGGCAUAAAACCCAUAAGUACAUUCACUGUGGUGGCGUGAAAAUGAAAUAAAUAUAUUCCUAUCCUAUAAAAAUAAAAUUAUAAAAAUAAAUUUAUGAUCCUACUACAGAGAGUAAUAUUUAUUGAGGAGGCUCAACAUGAUAAAGGCUAGAUAUUUAUGCUAACACUUAACUAGUUCCACAAAGCUUUGUUGUCUAUUUGAGCUUCACAGAAUUCAAGGAUCAAAGAAGACUAGCAGACGGAGGACAUCCUAAUCACUGUCAGGAUGCUGCCGACAUUCAAAUACAACUCCGCCACCUGCUAGCUACAUCAGAAGAAAUUACGUCAAAAUCCAGCUUGGGGGAGAGCACCCCCAUUUAUCCAGCUAAGUAUUCUACUCACGUUUAUACUUUACUCUAAUAAUAAAAAGAUGCAUAAUCAUAAAAAACCCAAAUAAAGAUUUUGUGCUCAUAUAUAUAUAUAUAUAUCUUUGCUUAGUUUGCUAAAUAAAUAAAUAAAUAAAGUUUGCUAUGAACCCUCAUGAUAAGCUCUCACAUGGAAAUGAUGAAUAGUUGCUCUACCAUGACUAAAUCUCAAAAUUGAAAUCUCUCUCAAGUUUAGGCAUGACUGUUAUUAAUUAAGCUUUGCUCUAAACCUGAACUUGUGCGAAGAGUACUUGAUCUAAAGUCUAAGUAGUUAACGGAUAUGAUAUUGGAAGGUUGAGCUGCUGUUUAUCUGUUCCUAGAGAUGCUAGAAUUCUGGAGAAUUUUAUCUUUGAAAAUCUUUAAAAUGUUGCAUGAUGAGUUCUUGUAUGAUGAGUGUUUAAAUUCCUACCACAGCCAUAUAUACAUGCUUGCUAGACUAUGAACCACACAUUUACUUUACUACUUAUGAGCAUUGAGUGUGGUCAAGCUGUGUAGACCCUUAGGAGCUUGUCAUGUGGUUAAAAUCAAGAUUCACUUGCACGUUCACUCAUACAUGCUGCUUCUACUCUGGAAGUACGCACCCACAUAUAUCCACCCAUUUCCAUCUCUAGAACCACCCAAAAAUAUUCUACUCCUAAUCUGGGAGAGAAUAGCCAAAAAUAUUCCUGUUUUUCCCUGUGAAAUAAAUGCUCAAGUUAUCUUGGUUACUACCACUUGCUAUAUUAUCUCAUGAGAUGAGUGCUCUAAAGAAAAAAAAAGAGAAAAAAAAAGAAGAAGAAUACGAGGAAAUAAAAAGGGGCAAGUGCCCGGAACCUCGAAAGAAAAAAAGAAAAAGUGAGACGAGAGGUAAAAAUGGACAAGUGUCCAACAGUAGAAUUAGGGGUACAAGAUACCCACCUGAGAGAAAAGAAAAAUAAAAUAUAGAGCAUCUCAUUCUCCUCAAAAAAGUUUCAAAAGAGCAAGAAAGGUAUGUAUCCCCUCAAAAGAGCACAAGUAGAAUUAGACAUUCACCAUUGUUAUCACCAUCAUCACCAUACAUCAUUCAUUCGCCACACAUGCACAUCUUGAUUUGACUUAUUGACUUGUUCUUCUGGAUCCAUGGUUUCACUAUGCAAUAAAUGUCUUGUAAGUAUGUAUUAGCUGUCUCCCACCUAUGAGCUCCAGAUAUCAAAAGCCUUAUUAGAGUAGGGUGAGAGAGAAGGCAAUACCACUAUGCCUCAUACCAAAAAUACCACAUAUUUUGAGAGAAGGCAUAUACCAAUACUGCCUUGGUAAGGAUCUAGAAAUACCACAGAAGAGAGACUAGAGAGAGUCAUACAAGGAAUCUCUGAGUUUUAUUUAAAAAUCUGCAAAAACUCCAGAGCUAUAGUUAAUCAAAGAACAAGAGACAUGGCGCUUGACUAGACCGUUCUAUCUUUUAACUGGUCAAGACACAAGUGAUGGUUGCAAGCCCCAUGGUGAAAGGUAAUAUGAGUAAGUUUAAAUCUGAAUAGUUUAACCUAACCCAGAGAUGAGAUCUUGUUUAAAACGCAUGUGUACCUUUAAGGCAUGAAACCACUGCAGAAACUCUUAAGUUCAUCUUUGCUCAGGGACGAGCAAAGGUUAAGCUUGGGGGAGCUUAGUGAAAUCGGUAAUUUAAUACCUCUCUCCAAUUUCUCAGACAUUGAAUUUACCAAAUUUACCUUAAUAAGUAUUAUAUUGUGCAGAGGCAUAUGAAGAUGUUCAAGAAAGUGAAACCAGCAAUCCAACACCGCCAACAGAGUGGCCAAGUCAUGCACGACGUUUAAAACAUAUGGGUGAUAAUCAAGGUAAGACAAUGUUUUUGUACACCCUAUCUUCGAACUUAAGUUUUUUCACUAAGUUUACUUUAACAUAUUUUCCAAUUCACUGUAUGUUGCACAAGUAGGAAGUGGAAAGAGGAAGUACAGAGCACGUGGGACUUUGAAAGGUUAUGCUGCAUCCAACAAGAGGCAUAGGCAAGGAAAAAACAAGAAAAUGAAAAUCAAAUUCUCAGAAAGACUAGGAGGACCUGUAGGUGGUAACCAACGGUCUUUUGUUGACGAAAUCGUUGUGUUCACAAGAUUGCAUGCUCCACUCAUUGGUAUCAAAAAAUGGAAGGAAAUUGAUGAUGCAGUUAAAGACGAGAUAGCCAGUGAUGUAUUGGUAAUAAGCUUUAACAUUUUUCUUCCAUACCCAUCUUACUUGAUCUUACAUAUGAAUCUGUAUAUGAAUUGAUUCUUUGUGUGUAACUGUCUUUUAAACAGAACCAUUGGGACAUUGAGAGGAAUGAUGAAAACAAGAAACUUAUCUGGACCAUAGCUAACGAACGCUAUAAAGGUUGGCGGUCAACAUUCAGUGCUACAUAUAGGGCAUACGACUGUUAUGAUAUCAGAAUGAGGCGUAAGCCAGAAGACCUCCACAUUGUUGAAUGGCACUAUCUCAUAGUGUAUUUUGGCACUUCAGAAUUCUAGGUUUGAUGCAUUUCACAUCAUUGUUUGCAACAACAGUUGUACAAAUAAAUUAGUUGUUUUGAGGAAUUGUUGACGGUCCUUAAUGCUUACAUUUAACCAUCAACUAAUCAUAGAAAUGGAUCCAAAUGCAACCAACACCUAGACUUAGGGUUUUAUCUGACAGAAUUCCACGAGUUUUGGUGUUUGUGUAUUUCUGCAGGGGGGUAUUAGGAAUUAUGGAAGAAAGGCCCACACGAAGGGUUUACAUAGAGAUAUUAACGUGCCGCGCAAUUUUCUACCAUCUAGAAGACUCCAGAAGCCACGGGAACGAAUGGGAGGCCGAUCGGGCCCGGGGGCAGGGCGCCCGCCCAAGUCCCUUGGGUGCCCGCCCAGCUACAGUAACCAAUCAGCUUCAACUUCGCGGAUCGUGCUCCACCGACCUAAGGGACCAAGGAAAAUCAUGCGAUUAAUGUCGGUUUGAUCCGACGGCCUAGAUUCAUCUGAAAAGACUAUAUAAGCAAGGCUCCCUGGCCCCUGGAGAGCAUACCUCUUCUACAAAAUCAAAGUUAGGGUUUGAAUUCUUCAUCCAAGUAGAGAGGAUCCCUCUAGUUCUUCUAGUUCUACCUCUAGUUCAUCUAGAUCUAGUUCUAGUUCAUCUAGUUCUAGUUCUAGUUCCUCUAGUUCUAGUUCUAGUUAGUUCUAGUUCUAAUCUAGAAAAUAGGGAGAGAGAAGAGGAGAGCGAAGGAGGAGGAGCCGGAUCUGUCGGAUCUUCCUCAACAUUAUACUUUUGCAGCAACUGGUUCGUUCUUCAUCAUUCUCCAGGUUCUUCAACUCAUAAUUCCUGAGUUCUUUAAUUACUUUUAUUUGCAUUCAAGUUAUUUAUUGGAUUCCCGCUUGCAUCAAGUGCUCUAGUCUUUAUAACGCUAGAGUAGUAAUUAAUAGAUUAGACGUGGUGUUUAGUCUUGCGAUUACCUGGAAUUGCACCCAAUCCUGCGGAUUGUUGUGGUAGCCUUAGGGUAGUGACAGCCCUAACGGUCAACGUAUUCCACCUCGUUCGGAUCGGUGUUUGUAGGACCGUAGUCAGACCUUCCUAGCCCCCUUCUCAUCUCUUUUUGUGGUUAGUGCUCUGAUGUCCCGAAAUAGAUAAUCUUGAAGUAAUUCUUGAUUCUUAGAUCAACUAGAGAACUCUCAGGAAACUUCCUCUGUUCCCACCAAAAACAAUUAUAUAGUUAUCCUUGGGUGAUUUUGGAUCUUAAUUAGUACACUCACAUUCUCUGUGGAAAAUCGAUACUCUGGAAUACUCCCGGGUGAAAGCUACAUCGGUAUCCGUGCACUUGCGGAUUUUUCUGUUUGCGUUUAAAAUACCCAACAGGAAUAUAUUUUUUAAAACAAAACUAGUAUGCAGAAAAUCAGCAGAAUGAAUUCUGAAAACCGUGCAAUGCAACAAACACAACAUAUGAUGGGAUCAAAGCCUUUCUCUCAUAUUAGCUAUGAAAUGGUAAGUACUUUAGAGAAGUACAUGCAUGCAUGAAUUGUUUUGAUUUAGUACUUGUUGAAAUGUUCAUUUGUUUCUUUCUGGGCAAAAUUAGAGGGACCCAGACACUCUUGAAGAGCCAAAUGAUUGUGAUCUAUGGGCGAAAACACACAGUAAGGGAGAGAAAUGGUCAAAUGAUGCAUCUAAAGCUGUCUAUGUAAGUAUAAUAAUCUACUUUAAUUGACAGAAACCUUGUUAAUUAAUUGUAUCAUGGUCAUCCUCCUAAAUUUCUAACCAGAUUAAGCACUUUCAAAUGUCUUACAUCUGUUAGGAAAUUGCUUGCACCGAAAUUAGAAACAAGGAAAGAGACUCAACAGAGAACUUUGUUCCUUCAACAGAGAGAAACCAUAUUUUCCAGAAAGUAUACCAGGAAACUACUAGAUGCCAGUCGUCCAAGGUUCAUGGUAAUGGGUAUAUGGCAAGGUAUCCAAGUAGAAGGAAAUUAAUGCUAGAGCAAUCUGAGGAACACGCCCGUUCUGAAACAGCAGCACACAAAGAAAAAGAAGAGCUGAAGGCUCAACUAGAGAAGGUCCAAGAACAACUUCAGAGCCAAGUUGCUCAAAUGGAAGCUGAGAAGGAAGAACACAAGCGUUGUUGGAACAACAAAAGCAAGAGAUGGAAGCACUACAGAAAGCUAGGGAGGCUGACAAAGAACAGCUUAGGAAAGAGUUUCAAGCACUGAUACAAGCACAAAUGCAUGGAGCAUCGACACAGGCUAUAGUAAGGCUCGGUGUUUUUACUUGCAUGUUUAUGUAGUCAGUAUGUUCCUGCUAUUAUCAUACAUUUUUUGUCGUCUAAUCAUCUCCCUUACAUGACCCUAGCAUAUGCCUGCACAAGAUGAAUAAAGAAGGCACCAGAAAUUUAAAAAGCAGUAACCAUGAGAUUUUAUUGCAGGUUAACCAAAAUACAAAUGAAAUAGCAGCUGUUGGAACAGAAGUGGAUGAGACACACUUACAUCCACAGGUAAUUAAUGAUUAAAAAAUGUUACAUUGUUCAUGAACUAGUGCAUGUUAUGGGUCGUAUGUUUAAUACUUGGCAUGUAUUUAUUUGGUUUUGCAGAAUAACCAGGUUGUUAACCAAAAUGAACUAUAUGCUGCUACGAUAGUUGCAGCGGCCAGUGUGCGCAGCACCAGGAGUUUGAAUAGAAGUCAAUCACAGAAUAAAGACGGGAACGUCAGUACCCAAUAUAUGACUUCACAACAAUUGCUGCAAGCUGCGAAAAAGAAGCGAGGUGCAGUUCCAAGGAAAGACUGAAUGUAAGAUUCAAUGCUAUAAUUGUCACAAAUAUUUCACGUUCUAAUAAUAGAAGCACUUCAUUUAUGAUGACUGUAACAUAAUAUGCAGGAAGAUGGAAGUUGAUGGAGUGGUUGGGGUCAUGAGAUUUUGAGAUGGAGCAUUUCUACAUCGCCAAGAAGUUCUGUGCUACUGCUUCUAUAUCGCCAAGAAGUUGUGUUCUACCACUUCUAGUAGCAAGCUGGUAGUCAAUGUGGUGCUUCAAGUUUGAGAUGUCAUGAACAAAGCAAAUUUAAACUUUGUUUUGUUAUCUUCGAAAGUCCUGAGGAGACCAUUUAUCUUUGUGAUACUACAUACUUUACAUUGGGUUGUGUAUUUAAUGAAUGGUUGUUUUUGUCAUUAAGUAGCUGUAAUCUCAUGAUCUACCUAUUUUUAAUAUUGUUUUCUGAAUUAUUAGAUGGCGCAAGAAUAAUUCCUGGUGCUACCAAGCAAACAGCGUUGUAAAAUUGAGUAUUUGCAACCAGAUUUAAUGAGGAAACACACAUACUAUAGCAACUCAUAGUAAUCGUAGUAGUAGCAUAUGCCCAUGUAGCCACCAAUUUUUUGUGUAGCAAUAACGAAGAUAGUUAUUGCAAUGAAAUCCAGAGCGUGGCAAAUCAACAUGUUGCAACCAUUUGUUGGUGUUGUUAUACAACUUGACUUGCCGCACCAGUUCUACGUAGCAAUAUCAAAAUCACUUAUAGCGACGAAAUCUAGAGCGUGGCAAAUCAACAUGUUGCCACCAUUUCGUGGUGUUGUGAUAAACCCUGACUUGCCACACCAGUUCUACGUAGCAAUACCAAAGUUAAGUAUAACAACGAAAUGUCGAGUGUGGCAAUAAAUUGUUUUGCAACCCGCACUAAUCGUUGCUAUUGCACCAGUUGCUACGACAUGGCCAUGUUGCAAUUACAUGUUCCAGCAACACCUCAAGCAUUGUAUUAGCUGCUGUUACCACACCAGAAAACGUAGCAACAACACAGAUUACAAUGCCACAAGUGUUGCGAUAUAACUACUGCAUUUGCAACACUAACCAGAAAAGCGUUGCGACAGCCUCUUGCCACAGUUUGUCUUGCAACACUCCGCAAUGUUUUUCGCGCGUUGCCAUUCCGAUUAUUACAACGUUUUUGGCGCUUUUGCCACAGUUUAGGCGCGUUGAAAUUUUGGGGUGAAUCUAGUAGUGAUAUUUUAUGUGAAUAACCUUGACUGAUUUCCUGACUUUCCUUACUGUUCCUAUGUGUUACCCUUUUGCUCCCCGGCAACGGCGCCAGAAAUGCUUGUUGACACUAGCUAACACCACUUAGAUACUAGGUUGUCAUCCCCAGCAUGGUGCCAGAGUGUACAAAGGUAUUUAUAAAUAUGGAGGCUCUCUAGAAAAUAAUCUAUUCUAUCCGCAAGCGCACAGAUAAAACACCUCAUUGUAGCAUUUCACCAGGUAAGUAUUCUAGGUAUCGUUAUUUAUAAUUUUGCUUAAGAGAACAAGGGUUAAAAUUAAGGAUUAAAUCUAUCAAGGCAUAGACUAGAGAUAAACUUGCAAGAAUACGAUUACUAAUGAGAAACUCGUCACACAGUCACUUACUUAUGUUGAUGCAAUGCUCAUGGUUAACAUGCAAGCUAACACUAGGAGUGUUACAGCUGAUGCCGAUGAAGAAGAACGUGAAAACUACUGCUCGAGAGGCAUGUGUGUGCCGAUGGGGAAGGAGGCGAUGAGGACUUCAUCGUGAUUAAGGCGGACACAGCAAUAGAUAGAUAUUAUUUUCUUCUUUCUUUAAUUGUUCGAGUAUGCCUUAAAUAUAAGAGUCCUGUUUACUUUAAUGUCAUAUUUGGUUGUAACUCUUUGGGCCAGGGUAUAAAUAUAGGCCUAGAAGAAAUGUAAUAAGAUACGAUCAAUCAAUAUCAAAUACAAGUUUACUCCUACUUCUGCAUCUACUUUUUGACGACUUCGUCAAUUUGCAUACUUUUCUUUUUAUGAGUUCUCAUUGAUUCGGUGAGUUGCACGAUCUAGUGUAAUACUCGAUAAUCCUCGAGUUCCGUGUGAACACCUCUUGGCCGUGACAUGUGGGUGCAUCACUGUUGUCGGGACUAAAGUGUUCAAAUCUUCAUCCUUGUCGAUUAUCGGGUCAAAUCGAUUAGCACGUCUUGACAUCGAAAUUGGGUAUUAGCCCUUUGUGUUUGCAUAUCUAUUUUUGCAUCAACAAUUACAAAUGCAUUUAAAGAGAUAACUACCAUUCUAACCUUAUGGCUAGGUACGGAAUUUAAAGUUUACCGACAGUUCUUCUUCUUCCACUCUUGUGUAUCUCUUCAUCUUGAGAGAUGAAGGUCUUGAUGGUUGCAUACCUCUAGUGAUGAUGAUGUCACCUUUGUUCUUUGAUUUUGCCAACAGGUUGAAGGAGAGUUUUAAUAGUAGCUGGCAGCAUCUUGCUUAGUGUGCAUGCUCACAGAACUUUCACUUGUAGAAUUAAUAUACUUUGCUUGAUGUGUUGUCCUGUUUGCAAAACUAAGGUAGAGAUCAAGUGCAUGCGCUCUGCUAGUGGAAAAACAACAACACAACCAAAUCUAUUUCUUUAUUUAUUUUUCUCCAUCCUUAGGCACAUUAAACAAGAUAAAGUUGUGUUACAUGAUUUAUUUAUUUAUGAGUGGUAAGAUCAAAAUAUUAAGCAUUUAAUGUUGCAUUUAAGUUCAUAUGAAAGAAAAUAAUGAAAUUGCUUAAUUAAUGGAAGGAUUGUCUAUCUCUAUAUAAAUUUUCAAAUAAGUAUGACUAUCAUCUUCCCGAGAUUGAAUAUAAUGUUUUAACUUGUUUGGUUAAGAGUGAGACUAAGAGGACGGUGUCAUAAACAAUCUUAAAAGAUAAAUCAUGUUGAGUGAACUAGGUUGAUCAAUUUAAGUUGUAACUCUAACAUGUUUGUGUUUUAAUUUAUUUGCACACCAAGAUCAAGAGAAGAGAGUGACCACUUACCUUAGAAUAUUACCUUCAUUAUUAGAGCGUGAUGGCACUAACUGAUGACGGGUAAAUGACUGGUGGUCCUUCCUCUUGCAUCUUGAGUUGUUCAUAGACAUCUUGUCUCCUCUAUUGCACUCAUUCUUUUGCCAUCUAUUACUUCUUAAAUCUGUUGACUCUUUUCACUCCAAUCAUUAUCAUGCCUGCAACAAAUUAGUGGACAACACAUACCUGAAGAAAUAUACAAGUAAUGACAAGGGCAUUGUUGUAACACAGCUAAGGGUCACUUCUAUGCUACAAAAAGAAUUUACUUGAGCAUACUUAGCAUAGCGCAUUUAUUAUUCACAAUUACUUCUUACUAAGGGUUUGAAUUUAUUUUGCCAUCUUAUUUUUUGAUUCUCAAAUAUAGGCAUUAUGAAUCAGCUCAAACUUAUAGAAAUUAAGUAAUAAUGAAUUAGAGAAUGCAAACCAGCGUGUGGAACGAUGGGAGCAUGAGAUGUGGAAGAACUUGGUUGGAUCAUCUAGACAAGUUUGACCUUUCUUCCUCUUGUCUCAGCUUCUUGACCGUAGAAAUGAGAGUGCUUUGAUUGUGGAACAUGUUUUGUGGCACCCUUCUUCCUUCUUGGCUACGAGUGAGUUGUAUCUUCCUUAUGCGAGAUUAUUGUAUUUCUUCAUCUCCAGUGUGAGUUCAUCUCAGGACUCUCCCAAUUUAAAUUUGGAAGUUUUCCUGCAGGGGUUUGUCUAAUAAGAUAUUCCAAUGUCUACUAUAGCAUACUAUCGGCUAAAAAUUAACCUAGGCACCACGUCUAAUUUGAUUUAGGAAGGCAUUUUAACCUAAGCACCACGCUUAAUUCAAAAAGCCGUUGAAAGUAAAAAUCAACACACCUCUUAUUUCAAGAAUCAAACUAAACACCUCGUCUAAUUAUGUCUCAAGAAAACAGCUUAAAUAAGCACCAUGCUGAAUUCAAAAGGUGUAUGAAAAUACUCCAAACCUUAAGGAUACUAUAGCAAACAAAGGUAACAUGAAAGCAUUAUAGAGAUUUACUCAAACAGUGAUGGAAGAGCAUGAUUAUUGUUCAGAAAAUUGAGCAUAUCUUAAAAGUAGGGACAACCAAGAUAGUAUAGCAACAUUGCAAGAGAUGUAUCUAUGAGAGCAUAUCCCCCAAACUUGAAAAAAUCAAGAUUGGAUGUAAGUAAUUCAAUGUUGCAUAACGAUUGGUUGGACAUACCUUGCAUUUGUCACUCCUUCAUUCUUAUUGCUCUAAAACUUGAAGGGUUAGUAACAAGAAUACCCAAAGGAAUAUUUUGUAUUGAUAAUUCUAUGCUCAAUUAACAAGGGUAGCACAAUAGAAGAACACUCAUGUCAUGGUCUAGACAGUGCUUGUUUUAGGACACUAAGCUUGUCAUUGGGAAACCUUCAAGAUGUGGUUUGGCGAAGUGGUUUCCCUUCUAACACCACUCUAAGUGUAUUAUUCACCAUAACGAGAUCUACAAUAUUUAUGGUAAACUUAUGUGUCCAGAACCACACUCUUAAUGAUUUUAUUAAUAGGUAGAAUAAGGGGAUUGAGGAUCUCAUGUGUGAUAAUACUAGAGACUAAUUGAUCCAGGAGAUUUCUCAUAUGAGCAUAUGUCUGAUAGGAAGUUUAUUGAAAUAAUUCACAUGCUCGACAAUAUGAUCUCCCUUUUCAAACUCCAAGGGUGUCUCUUCAUGGUUGUCUAUAGGCAAUAAGUUUGCCUCUAUUAUUUCAUGCCUAUGACAUUUAUUAGAUAUUUUAUUUUCUAGGAUUUUCCAUGAAUUGAUGUCCCUAGGGUUGGUCUCAUCUAAAGCUUUCUUCUAAACUUGGGUGAGUUAUGUUUAUUAAAGAAAUUGAUUUAAGCUUAACAUUUGAAUUUAGACCAAGUUUAGAUGCUAGUGCUAAAACUUAAUCUUCUUCCAUCCAUUCUUUGACAAUAGCAUAUGUAUUUCUAAUAUGUCCUAUGCAUUCCCACUAUUGUUGUUGCUCUUCUUGGGUAUUCCUAUAAUUUUCAUGACUCCUAUUCUUAGGAUGUCUUGAUUGAUUUCUAGGGUCAUUAUGAAGUUUAGUAGAAGGAGCAUAAAAAUAUUUAUUGGGGUCAAGGAUGGGUUUAGAGAUGGGUUCAAAGACAUUUAAUAUGGGCAUAUAAGGGGAGAAGAUAGAUUUUUUUUCUAAGUGGCUUGGCUCUCCUUCUAUGGCAUCACUUGGCAUGCCAUCCUUAAAUUUUUCCCAAUGUCUUUUUAGGAAGGAAAGGAAGUUGAUGAUGCUUUUCCCAAGAUACUCUUCUAAGAAGAUCUUAUAUGCAUUGAUUUAUGAGCAUCUUGGCUAACUGGAAGUCUGUUCAUGCAAAAAUAGAUCUACAAACACAAAAUUCUGAUACCCAAAUUCGAUGUCAAGAUGUGCCAGUCGAUUUGACCUAAUAAUUGACAAGGAUGAAGAUUCGAACACUUUGGUCCCGACAACAGCGAUGCACCCGGAUGUCACGGCCAAGAGGUGUUCACACGGAACUCAAGAAUCAUUGAGUAUGACUCGCCGAAUCAAUGAGAACUCGUAAAGAGAAAAGUAUGCAAAUUGACGAAGUUGUCGAAAAGUAGAUGUAAAAGUAGGAAUAAACUUGUAUUUGAUGUUGAUUGAUAUAUCCCUAUUACAUUGCUGCUAGGUAUAUAUUUAUUUCCUAGCCUAAAGAGUUACAUCCAAAUACGACUAGGACUUCAAUUAAAGCAAACAAGACUCUUACAUAUAUAAGGCAUACUCGAACAACUAUAGAAAAGGAAACAAUGCUACCUAUUCCUACGUCUGCCUAAAUUACGAUAAAGUCUUCAUCGGCUCCUGCUUCAUCAGCAUGUACACGCCCUUCUAGCAGUAGUCUUCAUGUCCUCCUCCAUCGGCAUCGGCAACCACAAGUCUUAUUGGCACCAAUCAGUAAACAUUUCUUUCGACCUUAUACCGAACCUGAAUCUGCAGAAUCUUUCUACCGAUCAUCUCCUAUCAUCGGCACCAUCUUUAUCGGUUGAUCCUCAUCAGCAUUCUUCUACUAUCAUAUAAUAAUCUUUCUGUUAUCAAUUGGUCUAUUUUAAUUAAUUAACUUGACCCAUUCCAAAAACGGUGUCAACACAUGCCCCCCAAUUUUGGAGUGUAAAAUUAUUAAUGCUCCAAAAUUCUCUGCAGAUAAUGAUUAUCAUAAUUAUCUUCCUUUUGAGAAAAAUCUGUUACCAAAUCUAAACAAACCCAGCUUUGAUUUUCGUAUAUCACACAUCUCUCAACCACCUGUACCCCGAUCAACGCCAAGUCAUGGGGAAAACCGCCCAUCGGCAAAGACUUGAUAUCAAGAUACGCUGCCGAUGGUUCACUAAAAUAUUGUGCACAGUGAAAUAUCCUCAAGAUCAUGAUUACUUGCCACCAAAUCACCUACACAAUCCCUUGAUUAUCGUGCGAACAGUUACCAUUUCCAUCUGAACAACCUCAAAUUUCAUGGAUGCGGCAGAGAGAUAAUUCUGAAAUGCCCUUACUCGACUCAACCUAUAAAUACAUCCUUCCCAGGCACUCAUCUUCUACCUCAUUAUUCCACAUCUCCAAACCCCAUUCUUUCUAGCAGCGAUUCUGUCAAGCAAGAACACAUCUUUAAUCAACAAGAAAUCCCCCCAGCAGAGCCUUCAAGCCCUCGGCUUCAUCUUCGUUUCGCCUAGAAGAAAUGGCCAUCAACUUCAAUGUCCCUAAGGUUAAUCUCUCAUUCAUCCCCCCUUUUUCUUACCGUAGUUCCUGUUAUUUCUUACAAGUUCAUACACUCAGUAUUUUUCCUUUCUUUUCUUCUAUUUCUUUGAUCCUCCAACCUUAGGAACUGAGCAACAAAAUAGUUAUUCCAAUUCUGGUCACAUACCUUUAAUGCUUUCAUGUUUGGUCAUGGCCCAGCUUCUCCUACCCUUGCCGAUGUGCUCAUGCUCAUGGGCCUAGACAUUUCAAUUGCUGAUGACGAUAGGCUCUUCAACAGAAAAUCCAAUUACAAAGUAGAUACCCGCAACAUUGGUGGUUGGACAGGAUAUAUUCAGAAAUAUCGGCAAACUGGAUCGGUCAGUCAGAGAGAACACACCAUUUUCCUAAAUAUGUGGCUAGAUAAAUUCAACUUUUGCGGCCGAUUAGUAGGUCCAACCUGUGUUUAUCUCGUAGCUGCCGAGCAACUGGCCAAUGGUUCUAGAUUCCCUCUUGGUUGAUAUCUCCUAAGCUCUGUCUACCAUCUUCUUCACCAUGUGAUUGAGAAACUCUUGCUGGGCGAACCCAUCGGCAACUUAGGAGGCCCCUGGUGGUUUAUCAGCAUGUGGCUUAAUGCCCAUAUGCAUAAGCAUUUAAAGUGGGACUUCGUUGCUUAGCAAUUCCCACGAGACAUAGCCGAAGAUUAUGAGUUAGUAGAAGAUGAAUCGGCAACCUGCUCGCCCCUCAACUUCAGUCAAGCAAUCAUAGUCCUUCCAAGUACUAAAGCAAAUGAAAAUCAGAUCAACAGAUUUUUCCAGACCUUUAACAAUGGUCUCUCCUGGGAGCAUCGGGCUUGGAUGCCCUAUGUCGAUGAGGACUCCAGAUUCUCCCUCCUCUUUCAUCCUGCCGAUGAAGCACUUAAUAAGGAUAAUGACUUGAUGAUGGCCAUCAUCACUCCCUGAGCGAUCCCAGUGAAUACUUUUGGUAGCAGGAAGAACACCAAUGCUAAUUAUGAAUUCUACAAUCCAUCGGCACUAUCCUGUCAACUGUCUUUUGGUCAAUUUUCCCGAUCAAGCUUUGCUAUUCCGACAUGAUCAAACCAAGGGACACCAUCACCAGUGGUCUCGACUGGAUCAAAGUAGCUCAACUACCGCUAGGUGCCGAUACUGUAGACUGUUGACACUUGCUAACACCAAUUGAAUACUAGGUUGUCAAACCCAGCAUAGCACUAGAGUGUACUAUGGUAUUUAUACGCACACAGAUAAAUCCACAAGCGCACGGAUACCGUUGUAGCUUUUACCCGGUUAAAGAUUUUAUCGUAUCCACAGGGAAACGGGAGAACUGAUCUAUGCUCUAACUUAACCUAGAUAGAUAGGUAGGUGUAAAUAGGAAAUAUGAUAGAAUUUAAUAAGAACAAUAUUAAAGGUAGGAUAACUAUGGGUGAUAAUAUAGGAAUAGAGAGUAGAGCAAUCUAAUAUAUGGGCGAUGGUAGGAGAAUAGAGAGGAUAACUAUGGUUUCUCUACUUCAAAGGGGUAUGUCUAUGUCUGGGACGAACCACGUGAUAAGAAUACACCACAAACGAUGCUUAUCCAUAGGCCGAUAAACCCUACCAGUCCUGCUAAUGGGAGGUGGACUACAGAGGACCAACGUAGGUGUCACAUACGCGGCCUACCACACGAUCCGCCUAGACAGGGGAUAUCCACAAGUAAUCUAGGUCUAAGUACCAUGCUUACACCUAUACUACAACUCUCACCUAUAGCGUCCUAUAGAUUAAAGUACUCAAAAUAGUUGAGAACCAGAACAUACAUGGAUAGUAAUUGCAUAAUGAAAUAGAAGUAGAAUACCUGUGUCAUCGCAUGAGCAAGCUUGAUUAGAGCUUGAUCAUGAUGAAGUACAACCGGAGGAAGAACCGAUAGGCCGGCCUCUCCUCCAAUCCUCCCUCGCUCUCCAUCUUGCUACUAUCUAGAUCUACUCUAGUUUAGAGAUGAGAGGAGAGCUCUCAUCUCCAAACCCUAGCUUUUGCUCUGUCUAUGAAUAAUGAAUAGGGAUCUAGAGGUGUGUCUCCUCCAGGGGCCAGGGGGUCUGCUUAUAUAGCCCCUCUGAAUGAAUGUGUGCCCUCGGAUCAAACCGACCUUAAUCGCACAGUUUUCCUUGAUCCUUUAGGUCGGUGGAGCACAAUCCGCGAAGCUCAACCUGAUUGGUCCACAUGACAGGGCGGGCGCCCAAGGGGGGAGGGCGGGCACCCUGCCCCUGGGCCCACUCGGCUUCUCGUUCGUUCCCGUGCCUUCUGGAGUCUUUUAGAUGAUAGAAAAUUGCGCGGCACGUUAAUAUCUCUAUGUAAACCCGACAUGUGGGCCUUUCCUCUAUAUUUCCUGAUAACCCCCUGCAGAAAUAGAUAAACACCAAAACUCGUGGAAUUCUGUCAGAUAAAACCCUAAGUCUGGGUGUUGGUUGCAUUUGGAUCCUUUUCUUUGUUUAUUUGAUAAUUAAAUUUGAUACUUAAGGACCGUCAACAACUCCCCCAAGCUUACCUCUUGCUCGUCCCUGAGCAAGGAUGGACUCAAUAGUUUAUGCAGUGGUUUUAUGCCUUAAAGGUACACAUGCGUUCAAACAAGAUCUCAUCUCUAGGUUAGGGUAAACUGUUAAGAUUGAAACUUACUUAUUUUCCUUCCACCAUGGGGCUUGCAACUGUCACUUGUGUCUUGAGCAGUUAAAAGAUAGAACGGUCAAGUCAAGCGCCAUGUCUCUUAUUCUUUGAUCAACUAUAGCUCUAGAGUUUUUGUAGAUUUUCAAAAUAAAACUCAGAGAUUCCUUGUAUGACUCUCUCAAAUCUCUCUUUUAUGGUAUUUCUGGAUCCUUACCAAGGCAGUGAUGGUAUAUGCCAUCUCUCAAAGUAUGUAGUAUUUGUGGUAUGAGGCAUAGUGAUAUUGCCUUCUCUCUCAUCCUACUCUAAUGAGGCUUUGAUAUCUGGAGCUCAUAGGUGGGAGACAACUAAUACAUACUUACAAAACAUUUAUUUCAUAGUCAAACCAUGGAUCCAGAGAAACAAGUCAAUAAGUCAAAUCAAGAUGUGCAUGUGUGGCGAAUAAAUGGUGUAUGGUGAUGAUGGUGAUAAUGGUCAAAACAAUGGUGAAAGUCUAAUUCUACUUUUGCUCUUUUGAGGGGAUGCAUACCUUUCUUGCACUUUGAAGCUUUUUGAGGGGAAUGAGAUGCUCUACAUUUUCUUUUUCUUUCCUCUCAGGUGGGUAUCUUGUACCCCUAAUUCUACUGUCGGACACUUGUCCAUUUUUACCUCUCGUCUCACUUUUUCUUUUCUUCGAGGUUCCGGGCACUUGCCCCUUUUUAUUUCCUCGUAUUUUUUUUCUUUUUUUUCAGAGCAUUCACCCUCCUAAUGUAGCAAGUGGUAGUAACCAAAAUAUCUCGAGCAUUUAUUUCAUGGGGAGUAACAGGGAUAGGAUAAUGUUUUUGGCUACUCUCUCCUGGAUAGGAGUAGAAUAAUUUUGGGUGAAUCUGGAGAUGGAAAUGAAUGGAUGUAUGUAGAUGCGUACUUCUGGAGUAGAAGCAGCAUGUAUGAGUGAACGUGCAAGUGAAUCUUGAUUUUAACCGCAUGACAAGCUCCUAACGGACUACACAGCUUGACCACACUCAAUGCUCAUAAGCAGUAAAAAGUAAAUGUAUGGUUCAUAGUCUAAUAAGCAUGUAUAUGUGGCUGUGGUAUGAUUUUAAACUCUCAUCAUACAGGAACUCGUCAUGCAACAUUUUAAAUAUUUUCAAAGAUAAAAUUCUCCAGAAUUCUAGCAUCUCUAGGAACAGAUAAAUAGCAGCUCAACCUUCCCAUAUCGUAUCCAUUAACGACUUACACUUUAGAUCAAGUACUCUUCCCACAAGUUUAGGUUUAGAGCAAAUCUUAAUUCAUAACAGUCAUGCCUAAACUUGAGAGAGAUUUCAAUUUUGAGAACUAGUCAUGGCAGAGCAACUAUUCAUUAUUUCUAUAUGAGAGCUUAUCAUGAGGGUUCAUAGCAAACUUCAUUUAUUUAUUUAAUUAGCAAACUAAGCAAAGAUAUACAUAUAAGCACAAAAAUCUUUAUUUGGGUUUUUAUGAUUAUGCAUCUUUUUAUUAUUUGAGUAAAGUAUAAACAUGAGUAGAAAUACUUAGCUGGAUAAAUGGGGGUGCUCUCCCCCAAGCUGGAUUUUGACGUAAUUUCUUCUAAUGUAGCUAGCAGGUGGUGGAGGUGUAUUUGAAUGUCGGCAGCACCCUGACAGCGAUUAGGAUGUCCUCCGUCUGCUAGUCUUCUUUGAUCCUUGAAUUAUGUGGACCUCAAAUAGACAACAAAGCUUUGUGGAACAAGUUAAGUGUUAGCAUAAAUAUCUAGCCUUUAUCAUGUUGAGCCUCCUUAAUAAAUGUUACUCUCUUUGGUAAGAUCAUAAAUUUAUUUUUAUAUUUUCAUUUUUAUAGGACAGGAAUAUAUUUAUUUUAUUUUUAUGACACCACAGUGAAUGUACUUAUAGGUUUUAUGCCAUGAGCAUACUCACAUGGGGCUUACUAUUUUUAACAUUUUUAUUUUCUUUUCAAGAUAGCAUGAUUAACUAACAAGCCAUUUAAGGAAAGUAAAUAAUUUAAGGGAAAAGGGAAUGCAGAAAGGAUAAAUAUGGAUAACUGUUGACGGUCCUUAAGUACUAAAUUUAACCAUCAACUAAACAUGGAAAAGGAUCAAUAUGCACCAAACAUCUAGAAUUAGGGUCUUAUCUGACAGAAUUCCACGAGCUUUGGUGUUUAUCUAUUUUUGCAGGGGGUUAUCAGAAAAUAUGGAGAGAAGGCCCACAUGUCAUGUUUACAACGAGAUAAUUACGUGCCACAAAAUUUUCCUCAAUCUAGAAGAGUCCAGAAGCCACGGGAACGAACGGGAAGACGAUCGGGCUCGGGAGCAGGGCGCCCGCCCUCCCCCCUUGGGCGCCUGCCCUGAGUUGGAGUCCAAUAAGGACCCGUCUUGCGGAUUACCCUCCACCGACCUAAAGGAUCAAGGAAAACCAUGUGAUCAAUGUCGGUUUGAUCCGACGGCCCAAAUUCACUGGAAAGGACUAUAUAAUCAAGGCCUCUCCACCCCCGGGGGAAGAGAAGAGAAGAGGAGAAAUCAUUAUCAGAGGUAGCCAUCAAAGUUAGGGUUUAGAACUUCUCUCCCACAGAGAAUUAGAAUUAGUUACUCCUUAAUCCUUCAAGUUUAGAGGAUUGAUUAGAUCGCAAUUAGAGAAGUAGAGCACUACGCUCUGGAUUCGGAUCUUCGGUAAUAAUGAUUGGUAUUAUUUCAUAUCUUUCUCUAAUACUUUGUUCUAAUUGCAUUAUGUCUCUAUUUAUUAUGCUCUUAGUUUGCUCUAGUUCUAUAUUUGAUAUAGUUAUGAUUGAUAAUGAGUUUAUGUAUAAGUUUGCAAAGCGCUUAGCUCUUGACGCACGGGAGUUAAGUGGUAGAUCACAUGUGGGCGUGGUGCUUAGAUGUUAUUUACCUGCAAAUGUAUCCUAUUGGCUGGGUCAUGUGGUAGUUCGCGAUAGUGACAGCUUGGUUGAUUCUUAUAUAGUCCACCCUCCGUUGAUAGGACAGGCAGAAUUUGUAUUGAGGAGUAAGUCUUGCGAUGCUCUGAUUUACUUUAGCAAUGUUCCUUAUACAUGAAUGAAGAGUCUUUUAUGCUAUAUAUGAUCUUGUAGAUAACUAGAGUAGAUUGUGACUUAGUAGAUAGUAGAUAACUUAAAAUCCAUUCUCUAGCUAAUCUGACAUCACCUUACAUAUAUGAGGAGUAGUCAAUUUUCUAAUCGCUGUGUUAUUAACCCAUGAACUUAUAAUUCACUAUCAUUAUCUUUAUGGUUUACCCCCUGCCAAAGUAAGUGACUGUGUGACGAGUUCCUCAUCAGUAAUCAUGUUCUUGCAAGUUUAUCUCUAGUCUAUGCCUCGAUAGAUUUAUCCUUAUCUUCAUUUAAUCCUCUUUCUCCUGAGCAAAAUUAUAAAUAACGGUACCUGGAAUACUUAUCCUGGUGAAAUGCUACAAUGAGGUGUUUUAUCUGUGCGCUUGCAGAUAGAAUAGAUUAUUUUCUAGAGAGCCUCCAUAUUUAUAAAUACCUUUGUACACUCUGGCACCAUGCUGGGGAUGACAACCUAGUAUCUAAGUGGUGUUAGCUAGUGUCAACAAUAACUACCGAUUUUACCUUUCGGCGAGGGUUCAAUGUUUUAAGUCUUCUGAACAAGACUUCUCACCGUGUUCAUUCUUUAGGUGCGUCAUUUGAUUUAGGUGUGGACCUUGACGUCUGCACCUCUUGAUACGGUGUCACCCAUGUUCUUCGUUUGCCCAGCAGUUCGAAGUUCGGCGUUGGCAGCAUCCUGAUCAGUGUGUUUGUGCUCGUAGAUCCAGGUCCUUCACUUGGUGGAAUUUGGGAGUUGUAAAACUCCACCAUGUUUUGUUCCAAGUGUACCUGCUCAUAGAGACAAGGCAGAGAUCAAGUGCAUGGGUCCUGUUGGUGGAAAACACCAACAGAACCAAAAGUAUAUUUAUUCUUCUCUAUCCUUAAGCCUAUGGAGCAAGGCAAAGUUGAUGGGUGAUAAGUUCAUGAGUGUAGCACUUAUAACAUUUGUGAGAUCAGAUCGCUCAACCUUAUGGAAAGAUAAUCUAUCUAUGUAUAUGUCUUUUUCUUUAUAUCUUCCCAAAGAUUGAAUGUGCAACAUUUUAGCUCAUAUGAUUAGGAGUGUGGGAUAAUGGAGGUAGUACUAGGAACACAGAUUAAAGGACUAAACAUGCUGAAUCAAUUAGGUUGGUUAAUUUGGAGUUAUAAAUCAUACAUGUUUGUCUCUUUAUUUAUGUGAACGCCAGAACCAAGGAGAAGCUUAUAAAAGUGAUAGUCACAUAUCUUAAGAUGUUACCUUACUUGAAGAGUGAUGGUACAGUAUCACCUUGUGGAAGCUUUCCUUUCUUAGCGGUUGUGCAUUGUGUUUGUAGCACCCGCCAUGGAUCAUCUCUUACGAGCUAUGUCUUCCUUGUGUAAAUUGUUAAACUUCAUGUGUCUCUCUUUGUCUCCAAUGUGAGUUUAUCUAAGGACUUCCCAGGUUGAUAUUGAAAGUUUUCCUGCAGGGGUUAGUCUGACAAAAUAUACCAAUAUCUACUCAAGGAGUUUUUAGUUCAGUAACCAAACUAGACUCCAUGUCUAAUCAGAUUAAGGAAGGCUAUUUAACCUAAGCACCAUGCUUAAUUUAAAUGUCAAUGGAAGUAUGUCGAGUACUUCCAAACCAACACUUGCUUGUAAAUAGACAAAGAUAGCAUGACAGCAUUUAUAGAGAUCUACUCAAGUGGAGAUGAAGUAGUGUGUUUAGUAUUUAACAAAUUGAGCAUGUCUCAAAGGUACGGACAACCAACAUAGCAACAUGGCAAAGGAUGUUUUUAUGUAAAGUACUCCCCCAAGCUUGAUUUUUGCAAAAUUCAAGUUUGGAUGAAUUUCAUUCAGUGUUGCAUGAUGAUUGGUUGGACAUACCUUGUGCUUGUCGUUCAUCCGAUGUUCUUGCUCCAAGCCUGGAAAGGUUAGUGACAAGAAUACCCGAAGGAAUAUUUUCACAAUUAUCUUUAUGUGCUCAAAACACAAGGUAAUGCUGUAAAUAAUUAAAAGCUCAUGUUACGAUAUGAUCAGUGCUUAUUUUAGGACACUAAGCUUGUCCUCGGGAAACUAUCAAUUUAUGUUGGUGAAGUGGUUUCCCCUUCGAUGCUGACCUAUAUCAAGAUCAACUCAACGAGAUCUGCAAUAAUUAUUAUAGACAUAUGCAUCGACAACCGCCCUUUUAAAGUUUUUAUAAAUAGAAAGGAAGAGGGGGUUGGAGAUCUCAAAUGUGGUGAUGUUGGAGAGACCAAUAGAUUGGGAAGAUGUUGCAUAUGAGCAUGGAGUAAACGAAGUGGCUAUGAAAUAAAUUCCAUGCUCAUUAAUGUUAUCUUCGUCUUCAAUCUGAAUGUUCGGAGUUUCUCCAAGAUUGGUCUCACCUAUGUCCUCUUCUGUAGUUGGAUGAAUCUCAUCUUCAAAGGGAGUCAAGAACUCACCAUUUGAAAUUGAGCCAAAGUCAGAAUCCAUUAAGGCUUCUUCCUUAUCCAUCCAUUCUACACAUUCUAGCCAUUUAGAACUUGUGAUCAAGACAGGGGAGCUGAUAGAAUCUUCUAUAUGGCUUAGCUCUCCUUCUAUGGCAUUACUUGACAUGCCAUCCUUAUGGUCUUCAUGACUCCCAUGGUUUGGUCGUCUUGGUGAAUUGCUAGGAUCAUCAUGAGACUGAAAAGGAGAGGGAUAAGAAGGAUCUCUAAGGUCAAGGAUGGAUUUAGAACUUGUGAACAUGGAAGGGGAGCAGAUAGAAUUUUCUAUAUGGCUUAGCUCUCCUUCACUUGAUAUGUCAUCCUUGACUUCUUCAUAACAGGAUCCAAGACAUUCUCUAAGAGAACCAUUAUUGCAAGGAUUUGAAUUAUCCCUGCUUGAAGGUCUCUUAUGGAACCAGAAGUCUAAACCAUCAGCAUCUAAAAGAUUUAAGGUCGAAAUUCCUUCCUCCCUUGGAGAAUUUUGGGGUAUUGAUGGUUUAGGAUCGAUAGCUAAAGUUUGAGAUUGAAGUGGUUGUGAUCUGGCUAUCGAAACUUCUUCUUCAUGUCUAGGAACUGGUUCUUUCUCUUUCUCAGGGAUAUAAAUGCUUGGAAACUUUCCACUCAAUGAAUCAAUUAAAUCCCUAGCUUCACUAGCAGGUAGGUGAUACAAGGAUCCUCUAGAGGCUGUAUUCAAGGUUUGCUUAUUUUCCUUACUAAGGCCCUCAAAAAAGUGAAUUAGAAGAACUUGUUCUGGAAUAGAAAGCUUUGGGCCAGUGAGAGUAAGGUUAAUAAAGCGGUCCCAGGAUUUGCCAAGAGAUUCUUCUUCUAGUUGCCUAAAAGAAAGAAUCUCACGCCGAAGUUCCACCACUUUGGAGAUUGGAAAAUAUGUAAAAAGAGAACUAUUAUAUAACUCCUUCCAAUCUCCAUGAACACUCCCUACUUUGAGUUUGUACCAAUGUCUAGCUUUUCCUGUUAAAGAGAACGGAAAGAGCUUCCAUUCAAGGGUCUCAUCGGACAUGCCUUCUAUGCGAAGGAGGUCACAGACUCGAUAAAACUCUCUUAGGUGUGUGUAUGGGUUUUCCUCACCUUCUCCUGAGAAAGGUUGUUUUUGAACAAAUUCUAUGUAUUCGGGGUCUAUCUCAAAACUAGAUGCUAUGAUAGGCUUUGAAGAUUUUGGUGGUUCGAGAUGUGUGUCCGUAGGUCUAUGAAAUUCAUAGAUACACAUGUUUGAAUUCAUGAUAGACCAGAGAUCAAGGAUUAGAUAAGAAGAAAGAAUAGCAGAGAUAAGGCAAAAGAUAAAAAGAAAAAUAUAUUUUUUAUUAUUUUUUUAGAAAAUGAUUAAGCUAGUUCGUAGUCAACUCAGCAACCGUCUCCCCGGCAACGGUGCCAAAAAGCUUGUUGACACUUGCUAACACCACUUGAAUACUAGGUUGUCAUCCCCAGCAUGGCACUAGAGUGUACUAUGGUAUUUAUACGCACACAGAUAAAUUCGCAAGCGCACAGAUACCGUUGUAGCUUUUACCCGGUUAAAGAUUUUAUCAUAUUCAUAGGGAAACGGGAGAACUGAUCUACACUCUAAGUUAACCUAGAUAGAUAGGUAUGUGUAAAUAGGAAAUAUGAUAGAAUUGAAUAACAAUAUUAAAGGUAAGAUAACUAUGGGUGCUAAUAUGGGAAUAGAGAGUAGAGCAAUCUAAUAUAUGGGCGAUGGUAGGAGAAUAGAGAGGAUAACUAUGGUUUCUCUACUUCAAAGGGGUAUGUCUAUGUCUGGGACGAACCACGUGAUAAGAAUACACCACAAUGGAUGCUUAUCCAUAGGCCGGUAAACCCUACCAGUCCUGCUAACGGGAGGUGGACUACAGAGGACUAACGUAGCUGUCAAAUACGUGGCCUACCACAAGAUCCGGCUAGACAAGGGAUAUCUACAAGUAAUCUAGGUCUAAGCACCACGCUUACACCUAUACUACAACUCUCACCUAUAGCGUCCUAUAGAUUAAAGUACUCAAAAGAGUUGUGAACCAGAACAUACAUGGAUAGUAAUUGCAUAAUGAAAUAGAAGUAGAUUACCAGAGUCAUCCCAUGAGCAAGCUUGAUUAGAGCUUGAUCAUGGCGAAGUACAACCAGAAGAAGAACCGACAGGCCGGCCUCUCCUCCAAUCCUCCCUCGCUCUCCAUCUCACUACUAUCUAGAUCUACUCUAGUUUAGAGAUGAGAGGAGAGCUCUCAUCUCCAAACCCUAGCUUUUGCUCUGUCUAUGAAUAAUGAAUAGGGAUCCAGAGGUGUGGCUCCUCCAGGGGCCAGGGGGUCUGCUUAUAUAGCCCCUCCAUAUGAACUUGGGCCGUCGGAUCAAACCGACCUUAAUCGCACGGUUUUCCUUGAUCCUUUAGGUCGGAGGAGCAUAAUCCGCGAAGCUCAACCUGAUUGGUCCAGAUGACAGGGUGGGCGCCCUGCCCCCGGGCCCGCUCGGCUUCUCGUUCGUUCCCGUGGCUUCUGGAGUCUUCUAGAUGAUAGAAAAUUGCGUGGCACAUUAAUAUCUCUAUGUAAACCCGACAUGUGGGCCUUUCCUCUAUAUUUCCUGAUAACCCCCUGUAGAAAUAGACAAACACCAAAACUCAUGGAAUUCUGUCAGAUAAAACCCUAAGUCUGGGUGUUGGUUGCAUUUGGAUCCUUUUCUUUGUUUAUUUGAUAAUUAAAUUUGGUACUUAAGGACCGUCAACACAGACGUCGACCUAUCGACCUAGGUACCAGCUUUUUUCAUCACUAAAUCCUACAAGUCAUGGUGGCAAGAGUGGAGGGGACAACUGUUCACAGCAUCGGCUCAUGUAUAUCAGAACAUGAUCGACCCCGAGCAUGAGAUCCCUAAUGACACAAUAAGCCUCUUCCCAGCACUUAACAUUUUCUUUACUUCUAACCCCAUCGGUAACUGACUCUUUCAUUUUGACAGGUUGACGACCCAGCACCAUCGGUGAGCAAAAGUGGGUGUCCAUUCGACCUGCAACCAGUAUCCCCGGUCUCUUUUAUCGGUCAUGAUGCCCCCACUCUGGCAGCUCUGAUGCAUCGAGGAAUCCGCUUCAAGAAGAUGACCACCAAGCGCUCAAAGGCUACUCCAUCGGUCGCGGCCGCCACCUUAGCACAAGCUUUCAAGGUAAAAUCCUUAGUCAUCUUUAUCAUACCGAUUUCAGCCUAUACUCACACUAUUCUUUCAGGGCGUAUCGACCACAACUGGAACAUCAUCGGUAACUUUGCCUUGCACCGAAUACUUUUAUUCUUAAUGAAUUUUCAGAAAUAUUUUCUACCUUUAUACUCGACUUGUAAGAUUUUCAUACUUCAUACAAUUUGCAGCAAGAAACCAGUGUAUCGGCAAGAACCCAAGAUGUUCAAACAUCGGGUGUCGAUGCCCCCCAGCCAGCAGCCACUAAGGCCCAAGUCAAACGCAAGGCCACAAAAGAUACCAAGGCCCAGCCAAGCCCAGCCAAAGCGACAGAAGGCUGCACCAUCUUCUCCCCCUCAACUAGCACCUUAGAGUCAAGCUAAACCGGCUGAUGCACCCGAACAAAAGGAUGAUCCAAGCAAUCAGGGCACGUCAUUGGCCGUUGCCUCCAAACAGAUAAUCAUUAUCCCAACACAAGGUAUGUCAGCGGCUAUCAUAUUUCAAGAAUCUUCAUCUAAUAACUAUUCGCUAUACUCAGCAUUAACCGAUCUCAUAGCUGAAGUGAUUCCAUCGGCAGACCCAACCGAUCCUCUCAAGAAACAAUCCAGAUCAAAUCCUCUAGCCAAAGGCAAGAAAUUGCCUUAAAACAAGUAAGCUACCUGGCUCAACUGAUUCUUGCAUUUGCAAUAUUCAUGCUUACUUCUAACUAAUUCACUCCCUCUCUCUUCCUUAGGAGCAGGACUCUCCCAACAGCCUAUUCUCCUUUGCCAUCUAACGAUGAAGGAGAAGAAGCAAGCUCUUCACUAGCGCUUGGGGCAACAUCGGUGGAAGUCAAGUCCAAGCUAGAGGACCUAUUGGGUUUAUUGCAGCAAGAUAUAGCUCAGCUGGUGGAUGAUUCUGACCCAGCAAAUGCUAUCUUCAAGACACUCCGUGGUCAGGUCCCAGUCGAUGUUGAACAAGUGCUUUUUCAAGCUACCCAUCUGGAGAGUCGCUAGCUUCAAUAUCAAAAGGCCACUCAACGCCUUGACAACAGAGCUGCCCAAGCCCAGCUCAAAGAAGAAAUGCUGCAAGUAAAGCACGUUGCCUAUGAGAAGCACAAAAGCAUCGGCAAUUUACAAGCUUUAGGUGCUGUGAAGCAAUAGAUUUUAGAUCUGUCGGCCAAAAGAGAAGCUCUGCUGGCGGAACUCAAACAGGUUGAAGAAGCACUGACUCAGGCCAAGCAAGAAGAGAGCCAGCUGCCCGAUAUGAUCAAAGGUCUCCAGCAAGAAAGGGACACUCAAGCCCACAAAGCCUGUCAUUGAAGAAGAAGCUCAAACUAGUGGAGGGUUCAGCCGAUGAAGACACCAAAGAGAUAGAGGAAGCCAAUCAAAUUUGCCUGCAUGAAAUAUCGGCUAUCCAGACUUUGUUGAACUUGUAUAUUUCUUUCAUCGGUAGUAUGUCGCACCAGCUCUUCUAUGAAAACUAGUAUUUUGUCCAGCCGAUAGGAUUGUUAUCGGCACUUAAACUUCUUAUGCAUCGACCCAGAUACUAGGGUAGUACUUCUUUAAAUACUUUCCAUUUAAUGUUCUAGGAAUUCAACCCCUUCGAGGGUUUCUAAGAUGUAUGCAUUGCCAGGAGUAGAUCGACUUAUCCGAUAAGGACCUUCCCAAUUAGGAGACCAUUUACCAAAUUUCGAACUUUUAGUCCCAAUUGGUAGAAUUAAUUUCCAAACUAAAUCUCCAUCGGCAAACUCCUUAGCCUUUACCAUUUUAUCAGACCAUCUAGCUACUCUCCUCUUAUUCUCCUCAAUGCUAAUCAGAGCUCUCAACCAAUGACUGGCCACAUCCUCCAAUUCAUCUUUCAUCAGAGUAGUAUAAUCAUCGGUAGUCAACUGAUCCUGAGAGAAUAUCAGCCUAGAGCCAGUUUUGAUUUCCCAAGGCAAUACCGCAUCAUGCCCAUAUACUAGCUGAUAAGGUGAUACUUUAAUUGCACCAUGACAUGCCAUCCGAUAUGACCACAAGGUCUCAUUUAAUACCGUAUGCCAUCGUUUAGGGUUCUCUUCAAUCUUACGCUUGAUAAGUUUAAUGAUCCCUUUGUUAGAAGCUUUGGCCUGCCUAUUAGCUUGAGCAAAAUAAGGAGAAGAAUUUAAAACCUUAAUUCCCAUACCGAUUGUGAAUUCAUCAAACUCCCCUAACGUAAACAUAGUACCUUGAUCGGUAGUAAUCGUCUGAGGAAUACCAAAACGGUAAACAAUAUGCUCCUUUACAAAAUCAAUCAUGUUGGCCGAUGUUACUUUUUUCAAAAGAAUUACUUCAACCCACUUAGUGAAAUUACCGGUAGCAACAAGUAUAAAUUUAUGCCCUUUACUUGAUGGCGAAUAAAUUUGACCGAUUAGAUCAAUAGCCCAUCCUCGGAACGGCCAAGGUUUAAUAAUAGGAUUCAUGGUCGAUGUAGGUGCUCUUUUAAUGUUACCAAAUUGUUGACACCCUUGGCAUCCUUUGAAAUAUUUGAAACAAUCUUCGAGAAUAGUUGGCCAAUAAUAUCCAUUCCUUCUAAUCAUCCACUUCAUUUUAAAAGCCGACUGAAGUGCUCCACAUACUCCCUCAUGAAUUUCACCCAUCAAACUCUUUGACUCAUCAUCACUAAGACAUCUGAGCAAAACUCCAUCCAAAGUAUGAUAAUAUAGUUCAUCAUCAAGGAGUACAUACUUAAUGGCCUGAAAUCUAAUACGUUUUUCAUCCUUCUUAGAGGGGUCUUUCAAGUAAUUGAUGAUUUCUGUUCUCCAAUCAUCGGCACCGAUUACUGAUGUGAGUACCUCUAGGAUAGGCUGAUACCCCGAGGCAUAUUGGGCUAGCCGAUUAGCUUCCUCAUUAUGUAAUCGAUGAAUAUGUUCCAGAUGGAAGUAAUUCUUUCAACAAUCGCAAACAUCUUUCAUAAUACGAAAUUAAAAUCUCACUUCGUCAUUCAUAAAUUCCAAUCAAUUGAUUUAUAACAAGCAUAGAAUCACUAAAUAUUUCAACAGCAUCGGCACGAAUCUCUCUUAGUAAUUCCAACCCUUUUACCAAAGCUUGUUAUUCAACAUGAUUAUUUGUCGAUGUGGCAACAAUCGGCAAUGAAAACUCAUACCUUCUUCCUCGGGGAGAAAUUAAUACUAUGUCGAUACCCGCCGCUUGAUCAUAUGUAGACCCAUCAAAGAAAAGUGUCCAAGGAGCAACUUCUAACUAGCUCACUGAAUUGCAAUAUUGAGUAACAAGAUCGGCCAUAACUUGCCCUUUGACUACCUUAGCCAAUUCGUAACGCAAGUUAAACUUUGACAAUGCUAGAACCCACUUGCCGAUUCUACCACUCAAAAUCGGCAUCGACAAUAUGUAUUUGACCACAUCAUCUUUGCAUAUAAUGCCUUAAUUUAGUACAAGAAAACUAUAGACAUAAGCACAAUUUCUCAAUGGCCGAAUACCUCGUCUCAGCAUCCACCAAUCUUCUACUUAAAUAAUAAAUCACACGCUCUUUCCCUUCAAAUUCUUGAAUGAGGACUGAACCGAUAACAGUGUCAUCGGUCGGCAAGUAUAAUCUGAAGGGUUUUCCAUGUUGAGGUGGAACCAGUACCGGAGGAGUCAUCAAAUAAUUCUUAAUUUCAUCUAGAGCCAACUGUUGUUCAAUCCCCCACAUAGACUCCUGAUCAGCUUUUAAUUUGAGCAAAGGACUGAAAGCCUUGAUCUUGCCCGAUUGAUUGGAUAUGAACCUCCUGAUGUAAUUAAUCUUGUCGAUCAAGUACUGAAGCUCAGUUUUAUUGGCAGGAGCAACUACUUUGCUGAUUGCAUCAAUGAGUCUUCUACUAAUUUCAAUCCCUCUCUGAUGCACCAUGAAACCCAAAAACUGGCCUGCCGAUACACCGAAUGCACAUUUAUUAGGAUUCAUCUUCAAACCAUGUUUCCUUAUACACUUGAGUAUCUUCCGUAGAUCGACUAGAUGCUUCAUAAAAUCUCUGGACUUAACCACCACAUCAUCAAUGUAAAUCUCAACCAACGUGCCGAUGAACUCAUGAAAAAUAAAAUUCAUAGCCCUUUGAUAAGUGGCACCAGCAUUUUUCAAACCAAAAGUCAUAACUAUCCAUUCAAACAAACCAACAUGGCCAGGACACCUAAAAGCAGUUUUGGGUAUGUCUUGUUCAGCCAUGAAUAUUUGAUUAUAUCCUGCAUUGCCAUCCAUAAAGCUAAUAAUUGUUGACACUUGCUAACACCACUUGAAUACUAGGUUGUCAUCCCUAGCAUGGCACUAGAGUGUACUAUGGUAUUUAUACGCACACAGAUAAUCCGCAAGCGCACGAAUACCGUUGUAGCUUUUACCCGAUUAAAGGUUUUAUCGUAUCCAUAGGGAAACGUGAGAACCAACUACGCUCUAACUUAACCAAGAUAGAUAGAUAAGUGUAAAAUAGGAAAGAUGUAGAAUUGAAUAAGAACAAUAUUAAAGGUAAGAUAACAAUGGGUGAUAAUAUGGGAAUAGAGAGUAGAGCAAUCUAAUAUAUGGGCGAUGGUAGCAGAAUAGAGAGGAUAACUAUGGUUUCUCUAGUUCAAAGGGGUAUGUCUAAGUCUGGGACGAACCAUGUGAUAAGAAUACACCACAAAGGAUGCUUAUCCAUAGGCCGAUAAACCCUACCCGUCCUGCUAACAGGAAGUGGACUACAGGGGACCAACGUAACUGUCACCUACGCGGCCUACCACACGAUCCAGCUAGACAGGGGAUAUCCACAAGUAAUCUAGGUCUAAGCACCACGCUUACACCUAUACCACAACUCUAACCUAUAGGGUCCUAUAGAUUAGAAGUACUCAAAAGAGUUGUGAACCAAAACAUACAUGAUUAGUAAUUGCAUAAUGAAUGAGAAGUAGAUUACAAGAGUCAUCCCAUGAGCAAGCUUGAUUAGAGCUUGAUCAUGACGAAUUACAACCGGAGGAAGAACCGACAGGCCGGCCUCUCCUCCAAUCCUCCCUCGCUCUCCAUCUCGCUACUAUCUAGAUCUACACUAGUUUAGACUCCAAACCCUAGUUUUUGCUCUGUCUAUGAAUAAUAAAUAAUGAUCAAGGGGUGCCUCCUCCAGGGGCCAGGGGUUCUGCUUAUAUAGUCCCCUCAAGGGAAUCUGGGCCGUCGGAUCAAACCGACCACUACAAGAGAUGUGACCUUCUAUGAUGAUUAUAUGCUGACAACAGAGCAAUCUGUCACUAAAUUAUUAAGAUAAUGACGAUUUUCAAGAGCCAACCUUGGUUAAUGACGAAAAUAUAUUACCUGUCACGAAGUCAAAAUCAAAAUCGUCAUUACCUAUUUUGGCAUCGUGGUUAUGACGGAUUUAUAUGACAAAUGUUCAUGCAUCAUAGUUAUUUAUUGAAUAAAGAAAAUUAUGGUUAGAUUGUUCUGACAUAAUUGAUAAUACUAUAAAAGUCCUUCGCAAUGUUAAUUUGUCACUUGUUUGAGUCCAUAAUUCUACCAUAUCAUUAUUAAAUAUUUACUUCUCUCUACUUUAAUGAUAAACUACACCCUAAUAUUGCUUAGAAAAGCUGCAAUUGGUCUCCUGCCAACGAUUGGUGCAAAAAAUGGCCACCAGCCAAAAAAAUUGUCUCCCCACCAACAAUAAAAUUGUCCCUCUACCUCCCCACCAAUGAUUCCCGCCAGCCUCUCCAUCUCCCGCCAUCUUUUUUUGACCAAUUACCACUUAUGUCCACUAUAACAAGUCCUUCAUGUAUUCAAAUCAAGGGUAUUAUAGUAAAUUCCUAUACAAGAACUGAAACCCUGCACAUUCCAGUCUGAUUUCAUCUUUCCCCUUUCCCAUGUGCAUCUAGCCGCCACCACUCCCCCUCUACCUCUACCGUAGCUCUUGCUCCCAGAAGCCAGCACCACCAGCCAGCACCACAUCUACCAGCUACCCCCUUCCUUCCUAGUGCUAGGCGACGAGUUCUGCUCCAAAUACAAGAUGCCUCCUAGGAGAAAGGUGCAGACUGCCAAGAUAGUUGAGACGCCCACAGGUAAUUCCUCAAGCUUGAGCGCCAGGCAAGGGAAAAACAAGUGGAUCUGAGGGGUGCCAAUGGGGAUUUGGGUUUUUGGUGUUCUGAUGUUCGAACUUAGGGUUUGAGGUGAGGGGAUUUUGGUUCCUGUGGGCGAGUCCGUGUCCAGUGGCAGUGAGUCGGCGAGGGAUGUGUGCCUCCGUCCUCUUGAGAUUUUGGGGGAGUGGGCAGCAAGUGUGGAGUGGCCUUCUGGAGCACGGAGUGGCCUGGUUGAUGGUUGUUGACGGCCCUGUGUCUGCACGGAUGAGUUGCUGUUAUGCGUAUGCACGGAGAUAAACAAUAGAAGCUAGUUAGCUAGCAUGUAUGUUUGUACCAUUUCGUUCAUGGUUUUUGAAAAAUCAAAGGAAAAUAAUUGUAGAUCCAUAUGGGUUCAAACUAAUUUUGUUAGUUUAUCAGAUCCAUCCUAUACAGAAGAAAAAUGUGUUUACACAUUUUGUUAUUAUGCAGAUUUCUAUGUUUAAUAAAUAUGAAGAGAAUGUUUAAAGCAAAAUAAAUCUUGAGUUCCCUUAACAUUAGGAAAACUAAUUAUUUUUAGAAUUAGAAAAACCAGAACUAAAUUUGGUAAAUACUAGAAAGCAGAGUUCCACUCUGCAAAGAUUGUUGCCUAACAAUCCUAGAUACCACGAGUUAGGAGAUCCUCUGAAGGUUAUUAGCAAAUAGAAAAUAGCACUAUCAAUUUCAGAGUAUGCUGCUAUAAGUUCAAAAUUAAAAUGAUGGAAGUGGAGUGAAGAAAAGACAAUCCUUCAUAGGAUCUUCUUGGUGAAUCAUUCAUAACCCUUGUUCUAAAACCUGCUGACUUUUGUGAAUCCGCAACCCAUCUUAAAAUUCAGAAGUUCUACAGAGAUGCAUGAGCAUUUACAUGUGUGGGAAAUUAGUGGUUAAACUAGAAAUAGUAAAUAAUACAGAGAUGCUAGCAGUAUACAUUUUUAUUUUACAAGCAACAACAUACAUUUUUAUUUUUUGCUCUGACUACUCCCUUAUAAUUGUAUCAAUUGAAUGUACAGAAGCAACGACACUCGAAUAUUUAAGACAGAGGAAUGAAAACAUUAUGAGAAAUGACCAAUUUUUCCAAAGCCUUGGGCUCAGUACCCUAGCUGUGCAAGUUAAGGGUAAAAGUGCAAGGAACAAGGAUGAUGUUCCAAAAAAAUCUGGAUCUCUGUACGAUCCUGAGGACGAUGAGGGCUCUAACCAACAUGAUGAGGAUGAAGUCAGCAUGGUAUGAAGGAUUGUUAUUGAUCAUUAUCAUUUUGGUGACUGCACUUCUAUUAAUUUUUGGGUCUAAUUCUUCUUGUUUGCUUCAUACUAGGCUCCUAACAUGGGUGAGGAUGGAUGUAGCAAGAAUGGCCAACUUAUUGGCAAGUUCUGCGCUAGAGGUUCAACAACGUCAAAGAGAGUGGUGGCACCACAAGAACAAGGGGAAAGUACUAGAGUUACGAGGCAAAGGACUGCUGCAAAUCGAAGCCUCACUAUUGUCACGCAUGAUGCUUUGGCAUUUACCUAUACUACAAGCCAGAAUGAGGAGCAUAUGAACAACAAUGAUGAAGGCAAGUGCUUAUGUGACCUGAUCACCUUUUAUGAAAUGUCUGUUACUACAUUAAUUAGCAUGUAUGAAUCUGUAGACAGUAAAUGUCAGUUACUGGCUUCCUUUAUUUCUAUCAUGAUGCUUCAUUGUAGACUUCAUUGCUUGUUGGUAUCUUACUAGUGAAUUCAGAGAUAAUAAGACAUGCUGAAUCUGUAGACAUAGUUCUAAUGCUAAUAUCUUCUUUUGCAUUCACUAGUAUUAGCAUGUAUCAGUCUUUGGUAAUAGUAUAAAAAUUCAGAUAUCCUAAUGAAAUCAGAUUGAUACUUAUUCAGUAAAUCUAGAAUAUAUUUGCUACUAACUCUACAAAUGAAAUCUUGUUAGGUGCAUUAUUUGCAAGUGCACAACAUGUGCCGCGGGGGAAAUAUAUGGGCAAAGAGCUAGAUGCAUUGAGUAGAUUGCUAGGGACAAAGAUUAAAAUUGACAUUGCUGAAGGGAAUAGAAGGCCAAAUGCACCAAUGCAAGCUGCAAAACUUGCAUCAGUGGCUGGGAUCUCACUUAGGAUACAUACACCUAUCUUCCCACACUAGAAGAAGUACAAGAAGGAACAUAAUAAACAUCUUGUUGAAGCCUACAUUGGCAAAGUUGCUGUAAGUCAAUAUCUAUUUGACUUGUUCAAUCAUAGUUCAUUGUGUCCUUUUUUGUUUUCAAAUCUAAUCUCUAUUUUCCUACUAGACCCCAUUCGACAUGGACACUAAAAGUGAGGCUGUACAAGCUGCUUGUGUUGACAUGCUAAAGGGUGGACAACGCCAGAUGAGGCAUAGGUUGAAAAAGAAGUAUUUUGAUGGAGUUGCUGCAAAUCUUGUGAGGACAACGUCACCUGUGAAGUGUAUGACUGAUGAUCAAUGGAGAGCUUUAGUGGAGAUGUGGUCCAACCCAAAACACAAGGUAUGACAUUAGUGAUGUUGCUGAUAAAUGUGUACAUAACUAGACAAUUCAGAUUUAAGUGGCAUUUGUAGUCCUUUUUAGUACUUAUUUUUAUGUCCUUUACCUUACAAAUUUGUGUGAUGUGCAGCACACUUGUGUCAAAAACCAAGUUAAUCGUGCGAAAGUCCAGUUCCAUCAGCGUACAGGUUCUUGACGUUACAUUGCACAUGCCUAUGUCACGGUAGGACAAAUUUAAUGCUAUGUGAUCUUGUUGCUGAUCUUCUAAUUUCCAUGAGCUAUAGAUAGUUGUUAUUGUCUCAUGGUUCAUGUUCUAAAAUCUUGCAUAUACCUUGUACAUGCUUGAAUAUAUGUUUAUUUUCAUGUGCUUCUAAUUUACAUGCAAAAAUAUGCCUCCAAUUGAAUUUCUGUCCUUGUUAUACUUAUUGAAAAAUACUUGAAUGAGCAAAACUUGUUCAAUGAACUUGUAUUUCUAACUCUCUGUUUGCAUGAGUGCAUUGCUGGUAGCACUUUGGCCACAUUUUGUUUCAUUAAAGUUUGCUGCACAUUAUUUGAAAUGAGAAGCCAUGGAAUUGGUUCAAGCUAACAUUGUAGUUGUUUUCUCAUUAUUUUAGAAACAAGAAAAAUAUAAAGACAUAGAACCCACUGCAAUUGAUUUGUUCAAGGAGAUGCAUUGCAGCAAGAAGAGUGGAUUUUGUGUGCCUGUCAAAAAUGCAAUUGUAAGUACUUUUCUCCUCUUCUCCAAGACAUUCUUGAAAGUCAACUUGAAUAUUUGGCCGGAUUGGCUGCACAUCUUGUGCUGCAGUUAUUGUUGCAUGCUACUUAUAAUCUGAACCACUGAAAUCCGAUGCAUAGAAUCUGAUCCAUGCACGCACCAAUAGCUGCAACUACUAUUGCCUUUACUUCAUGAUUGGAAAUGAUUUUGGGCUAUUUUUGCUAUUGUCAGAAUUGAUGUUGGAAGGGUUAUGAUGUACUUUUUGCUUGACUACUUUAUUACAUUAUUCAUUUCCCAAUUUAGGUGUAUGUAGUCUUCUAAAUUCACAUGUGUAUAUCCCCAUGCUUGAAAUGAUGUUUCAGUCUAUUUUGGCUAAAGUAAGAUCAUAUUUUAGGUCUUUGUAAAGUAUUAUUGUAGGCAGUUUUUCCUAUAUUGCUAUAAAUCUAUACCAAAGUCAAUACUAAUUUUGUAUCAUUCUAUUGCUAGGCUGCUAUGGAAGCAAUUGAGGCUGCACCAAUGCAAGAAGGCCAGCAGUCACUAUCUUCUACUGAAAUUGUUUCCAAGGUGCUGCCAAAAUCAAGCACAUUUCUCCAAAAUGUGGGUCUACCAACCUUGAAGCCAAGUAGUAGAAGUGCAGUUAGUUCACAGGUGUGGGAGCUACAGGCUCAACUUGAGGCUAAGGAGCAAGAAUUUGUGCAACUUAAGCAAGAAUCCGCACAACUUAAGCAAGAGGUGGCUAGCCAAGCACAUGAAAUUGACAGUUUGAAGAAGGGACAGCAAGAAACUCAUGCCCUCCUUCGACAGCUGAUUAACUUCAAUCAGGGUCAAGUCACUCCUCCCUAAAAUUUGUGAGCAUCAUCAUCAAGAUAUGCAUCAAGGCGAGUUAGUUCAAUUAUGCCUUUUGUAUCUAUCCCUAGAAUUUGGGCAUAUGAGAGUCUUUGGUGAACUCUGUAGCAUUUUGGUCUACUUGUGGGUGCUGCAAUACAAACUAUGAACUUAGUAUUGCUUUAGCUUGCAAACUAUUUCAAGUUGUUAUGUAUGACUUAGAUGGAUGUAUGAGUGAGUUGGAUGUAUGGUUGAGAUUGUUGCUUCUAAGAUGUUGAAUGGAUGAAUAUGAAAUUUGUUAUGGAUCAAUGUAUGUCUGUCAUUUGUUGAAUUCAAUUAUAUGGUUAAUAUUGUUACUAUAUAGGCACACAUGGUAGUUGUCUAUUUGAGAUUUCAUGACAGUUUUAAUGACAAAUAAUGAUCGUCAUUAUUGCUGGUGACGAAAAUAUUGUUGUCACUAACUCAGUGACGAUAUACUCUCAAUCGUCAUGGAAGGGGCUUUAACACGCACCUUCGGUGACGAUAGGUAUUUCGUCACUGCAUCGUCACAGAGCAUAUUAUGGUGACGUAAAUUCCUCUGUUUAUGACCAAAAUGAGCUGUCACAGAAGGCCACAUCUCUUGUAGUGGACAUUGAUUGAACGGUUAUUCUUGAUCCUUUAGCUCGGUGGAGCAUAAUCCCCGAAGAGAGUCCUGAUUGGACUCUAUAGCUGGGCGGGCGCCCAAGGGGGGAGGGCGGGCGCCCUGCCCCCGAGCCCGCUCUAUCACAGAACUGACCAAAUUAUAAGAGUUCAAGUGUAGAAAUGAUCGACAAGCAAUCAAGUUUCCAAACUUGAGCCCAUAUAAUCCCGGUAGUCAACUGAAAUCACGAAGGACUUCAAACCAACUUGCAACAAACCAAGAUCGUAAUAGUUCAACACAACACAGCGAUUGUUACAUAGUCAUUCAUUGCCGUUGAAGCGGCAUAACAUCGGAGUUACUUAGUUAUUACAACACAUGUUUGAAGUAGCAGAAGCAAAAUAAUUACACACACUUUCCAAAGUUCAUUUCACAAGUUCUGGUUCAGCCAGGGUCUCAUGCCAUCCAUCCAAAAGCAACAGAUACGAAGUAGUUAGAGAACCGUGCCCAACGGUUUAGUCCUCAUCCCCGGCGGGAUGGAGACAGGUCUUGCAAAAGCCAUCAUAAAAGAUAUCAUCUACAACAGGUGGGAAUAAACCCUGAGUACGAGGAUGUACUCAGCUAGACUUACCCGUCUAGUAAAACAUAAAAGACACCAAGGUUCAUGCAAGAAUAAGUAUAAAGUGUGGCUAGCUUGACUCAACAUUUGCCGAAAUGCUUAAGUUGAGACUACACCAUUGUAGAAGCAUCAUAAUACUUGUCAUUAGCCUACCACUAGAUUAGCACCUGUACUAAAACACGUCACUUGAUUAUUACAAUCAAUAAUAACCAUAUCAAGUUCAUCAUGUACUCUUUCUUGCUAUCAUCAUUAUCAUGAACCAAAGUUCUUUAGUGCAUGCUACGUUUGCCACUGCUCUGUUAAGUUCUCACUAUUCGGGAGAGACGGCGAUUCGAAUCGAUUCCUAUCCAGCUGGAGGGUUAUAUGUAGCACUCACCCAAGCAUCCCCCGUCGGAGAGCUAGCAGGUCACCUUUGGUACGACUCAGGAAUCACGGCUCCGAUCAGUGCCGCACUCCCAGGGCUACCACUCUGCCAGGGAGGUCAGGAAUUUUAACUCACCUACCUUUGGUCUUAUGCCAAUGGUCCCGCGCACACCGCACUUCUUCCGGUAGUGCGCACUUUAUACUUGCCGGUCUUCCGGGCUGAGUCAUACUACUAGGCUUCGCGGUCGGAACGAGUUAUCCGGCCAACUAAGUGUUAGGCAUGCGUUCAACAUGACAAGAGGACGUACAACGGUCGGUCCUUAGCUGCCACAGAUGGAGUUACUAUAACCUUGCAAAACUCCGCCCGGCUUAAGUUAAUUUAAUCAGGUUCCAUCCACGAUAGCACAUAUAGUCCAUCGUGAUCCGACAUAACCCUAUAUCGCGCAGGUGACAGGAUAUCACCCGACUUCUACCGCUUAAAGCAUGGCUAAGCUGCUACUCGAUCCUAACUCUAUAACCAGGUAGUGGUAAGAUAUCUGGAUAAGGAUUGAGUAAAAUGCAGCAAAGGUUUCAUCACAGUUCCUAUACUUAAAUGCAUCAAUAGAUAUAACAUAUUCAGGUAAACUUUCGAAAGUAAAGGGGAGACUUAGGAUGCUCCGGGGCUUGCCUUCCACGAACGAGGCUGGCUCAUGAUUCGGGCACUCAACUUCCUCUUCGGGCUCCUCGAGUCCGGCUUGCUGGACCUCCGUCUCCGGGUUGCCCUCCUGGCCUUCGGGGUUCACUUGAAGCUCGAAAGAGGCUGUCACGUCCGAUGCACCUAUUGCAUGCUCGAUGAAUAAGAAGGUGUGCAUACUAAAGGAUGAAUGCUUGAUAACAUCAUUAGACUCACUGGACACUCAUUUACGGAGCAACUGUUAUAACAAGUUCACACAAGAUGAUAAGUUAACUUAGCCAAAACCUACCAAGUUAAACUAUAAACAGCAAGCAUCACAUAACAGAACAGCUCAGUAAACAGGUCAUAACUAUUGCUAAACAGAUCCAACAAACAUAAGUGAGGACAUUCUGGAAAGCUUAUGAAAUUGUCUACAAUUCAUGUUUAAACAUCACAGCAAGAUUCAUAGGUUAAACAAGUCAUUUAAACAAAUUUCCAGGUUCUGUCCCAGAAAACAGAGAACACCUAUUUCUGGAACUCAACUUGGAAGGGCUAUAACUUUUAAACUAUUGGGCCAAAUGAUCUCAAAUUUAAACCACAGCUAGUUCAUAAAGUUUACAACAACUUUGAUUUAGACAAGUCUUUCAGAAAACCAAGGUAUCAUUAAGCAAAAGUUAGACUACUUCCUUGCUGUCCAGAACAGCUUUUUAACCCUUAAUUAAUUAUUUAAUGACAUAGCCAAAAUAUAAUCAGUGUCAACCACAUGGCUUAUAAGCACAAACAUACUAUAGGAUUACCAGAACAACAUAUGUUAACUCCAAAACACUUAAUAAUAAGACAUUUAUUAAUUUAAUUCUAUAAACGAGCAUAAUUACAAGAUACUAGCAAAAUGCUCAGAAAAAUCUACAAAAAUUACAGGAGCACAAGCAUAGCAUAUACAUAUUACCAUAAAAUUUUCAGAGCAAUUGCACAUACCAAAUUCAGGAUAAGCACUUAACAUGUGGCAAGGUGUUUAUCUUCCUAAAUUCAGAAACAUAGCUUAUAUAGUGUCAAACAACAGAUUUCAGAUUAUUUACAUACUACUAUGACCAUAAAGAAGUGUGACACCAAAGUAGAACACCAGCAUAAGCAUCAAUUAAUUAUUAUGAUUUAAUUAAGAAAACAAGCCAUAUCUCAAACAUAAAUUACAUAUCACAGAUGCAGUACUCCAAAAUCAUGAAAUAUUUAUCAUAGCAUUCUAACACCACACAGAGACUACAAUAAAAAUUUCAUGGCAAAAGGAGCAGUAUAACAAAAGAUAUGAAUUUACUCAUAAGUAACAAGAUUAAAUCCUAAUAAUUAUUUUUCCCAGAAAACAUGGUUCAUUUUAUAUUUUUACAAAACAAUAGCCAUCUCAAAGAAUUUCACAAAAUUGGUCUCACAAAUUUUGGAUCUCAGAAACAAGAGAUAUGAUUUUUGCAAGAAAGCCAAAAACCUGGAUUUGAAUAAAAGAAAAGGAGGGAGACGAUGUGUCACUGACAGUGGGUCCUGCAUGUCAGGGUCAUCUUCCCCACAGCCGAGGCGACUCUCGCCGGCGAUUUCUCCAUGACGGCGAGGUCUCCGGCCAAACCAAGGGCACCAACGUGAUCCCCAGACCUUUGCGAACUGAUUGACCCCCUUUUCCCCGCGGCGGAGCCACCGGAAAUGGCUCGCCGUCGAUCAUGGCGGCUUGGCGGAGGUGCUCGGCGUUACGCCGGAGCGCUCAGGCCGGUAGAGCGCUACCUAGGGUUUCCUACAGCACCAGCAGACUAUGGUGAGGCUUCCUAGGUAGGUGACUUGGCUUGAAACGGCGUGGAAUGAGCUGGCCACGAGAGAGCCCAACUCCGGCGGAAACAUGGCGGCGCUGCGUGUCGUGUCCGGCGACGGUGAGCGCGGUAGAGCAUCCACCAGGUGGCGCAAACGCUUGCUAAGGACCUAAGCUACCUCUAGGACCUAACCAGAGAAGAUGAGAGGCUCUGAGGAGCUCGGCAUUGAGUUCGCCAGAGAAGAAGGUCACGGCGACCUGAUUUGGGGGGAAAAGGAAAUGUCGGCUCACCGGAGGAUUUCACGGUGAGUUAGCGGGUGGAUGGUGAAGAGCGGUUCACGGCGGAGCUGUGAGCGAGUUUUGGUGAGCAGUGGCGCAGUGACGAGCGCGAUUGAGCUCGCUGCUCGCCGGAGUGAGCUCGCGACGAUGAGCUCACUGCGUCCGCGUUUCUGGCGAGAGGGUGAGUGGAAGGAGAGAGUAGACGCGUCCACUGCGUCCGGGGCAUCGCCGUGGAGGUCAUGCGCGUGCUGGGAGCUGACGAGCGGGGCCAAGAGCGACGUACGGGCGCGGUCGGCCACGUCGACGAGCUCGGCCUCGAUUCAGUUAAGGUGAUGACUGUCUGACAGAGCGACUUUGACGGUGAUUAACUCCCAAACCAGAGCGAGUUAGGAGAUGGUGUAGUUGACAAAGUUCAAGUACUAACUGAGUUCUACAACAUUGUCAACUAGAGCAAGAGCUAGAUCGGUCUGGAUUGAGAGAUAUAAAGUUUUCAAAAUUGAUCAAGCAAACUGCUGCGUCUCCAGACUUAGAAAAUAUUUCUAAGUGUUGGAAACAGCCCCAAAUCUGCCUUGUGGGUCACUUUUGAGCUAGAUGUGAUCAUUUUCAUGAGAUGGCCAUAAAACAACUUUUAGUCCUUAUAAAAUUUUCUAUAACUUUGCUGUAGAAAGUUUUGACAUGCAAACGUUUUAUGAAACACUUUUUAAAGCAUAAGCACAAGAGGUUUCUAGGGCCUAUACAUGUAAAUAUGACUUAAGUGAUUAUUUUGGAGAAGUGAUCAACAUGAACAUUGUUUCUAAGAUUGAGUUAAGCAUAGAUAAGCUAAUUACCAAGGCUUAACACACAAGCAUGAGGAUGGUUCACACAAACAUAAGCAUAGGAAGCAUGAUAAAACAAGUUAAGGCACACUUAAGCAUAAAAUGACAUGGCUCGAGGUAGAUGAUGAUCAUGAUAUGCUUGAGUAGAUGAUGAUGCUCAUGUUAUGCAUGUGAUUUAUGCAACCAUAACAUUGGGGUGUUACAGCCCUACCCCCUUACAAAAAUCUCGUCCCGAGAUUUGAAAGCUUACUGAUUUUCGAAGAAUGUUUUGUAAACUUCUUUUAAAUAAUCCUCCGUUUCCCAAGUGGCAUCUUCCUCCCCGUGGUUACUCCACAAUACCUUGUAGAACUUAAGCACGCGAUUAUGAGUCACCCUUUCCUUGUGGUCAAGAACCGCUAUAGGUUUUUCUUCAUACACCAAGUCAGAUUCCAACUUGAUAUCCCGAACUCCCACUCGUUCUUCCGGAACACGAAGGCACUUCUUCAAUUGUGAUACGUGGAAUACAGGAAAAAUAGCUCGAAGCUCAACUGGUAGUUGAACUUUGUAUGCCACAUUCCCUUUCCUUUCAAGAAUCUGAUAGGGUCCCACAUAACGAGGUGCAAGCUUUCGCUUGACUCCGAACCUUUGUACUCCCUUCGUCAGAGACACCUUGAUAUACACAUGGUCGCCGACUGCAAACUCAAUCGGUUUCCUUCUCUUAUCAGCAUAACUUUUCUGACAAGCUUGAGCAGCUUCCAGAUGUUGCUGGAUGGUACAGAUUUGCUGCUCUGCUUCGUUCAUGAAAUCAAUGCCAUGAUACCUUCGUUCCUCGGAUUCCACCUAGUUCAACAGGGUUCGACACUUUCGACCAUACAGGGCUUCGAACGGAGCCAUCUUGAUACUCUCCUGAUAACUGUUGUUGUAAGAGAACUCAGCUAACGGCAACCACUUAACCCAAGAACCCUUUGAGGAGAGAGCACAUGCCCUCAACAUGUCUUCUAGGAGUUGGUUGACCCGUUCAGUUUGGCUGGCCGUUUGGGGAUGAUAAGCAGAACUACGGACCAAGUGUGUGCCAAUCUGCUCAUGAAGACACUCCCAAAAACAGGCAGUGAACUAUGGUCCAUGAUCUGAUAUGAUAGUUCGAGGCACACCAUACUGACGAACAAUGUGCUCGAAGUACAACUCCGCAUAUUGAUGUGGACGAUAAUCAGUUCGGACUGGAAUAAAACGAGCAACCUUGGUUAAACGGUCUACAAUCACCCAGAUAGAGUCGUAACCCUUGACAGAAGUUAGAAGUCCAACAAUGAAAUCCAUGCUGACUUCUUCCCAUUUCCAACCAGGAAUUGAUAAGGGUUGAAGUAAGCCUGCUUUCAUGUGAACGGCCUUCACCCGACAACAAUUGUCACAACGAGCGACAAAAGCAGCAAUCUCCUUUUUCAUCUUUGUCCACCAAAACAGAGGUUUCAAAUCCUGAUACAUCUUGCUACUACCAGGAUGGAUAGACAAUUUGGAUGAAAUAGCUUUAGAUAAGAUCUAAUUUCGUAGCUUGUUGACGGUCCUUAAUGCUCACAUUUAACCAUCAACUAAUCAUGGAAAAGGAUCCAAAUGCAACCAACACCUAGACUUAGGGUUUUAUCUGACAGAAUUCCACGAGUUUUGGUGUUGGUCUAUUUCUACAGGGGGUUAUCAGGAAAUAAGGAAGAAAGGCCCACACGUCGGGUUUACAUAGAGAUAUUAACGUGCCGCGCAAUUUUCUACCAUCUAGAAGACUCCAGAAGCCACGGGAACGAACGGGAGGCCGAUCGGGCCCGGGGGCAGGGCGCCCGCCCAAGUCCCUUGGGUGCCCGCCCAGCUACAGUAACCAAUCAGCUUCAACUUCGCUGAUCGUGCUCCACCGACCUAAGGGACCAAGGAAAAUCGUGCGAUUAAUGUCGGUUUGAUCCGACGGCCCAGAUUCAUCUAAAAAGACUAUAUAAGCAAGGCCCCCUGGCCCCUGGAGAGUAUACCUCUUCUACAGAAUCAAAGCUAGGGUUUCAAUUCUUCAUCCAAGUAGAGAGGAUCCUGCUAGUUCUUCUAGUUCUACCUCUAGUUCAUCUAGAUCUAGUUCUAGUUCAUCUAGUUCUAGUUCUAGUUCCUCUAGUUCUAGUUCUAGUUAGUUCUAGUUGUAAUCUAGAAAAUAGGGAGAGAGAAGAGGAGAGCGGACGAGGAGCCGGAUCUGUCGGAUCUUCCUCAACAUUAUACUUUUGCAGCAUCUGGUUCGUUCUUCAUCGUUCUCCAGGUUCUUCAAUUCAUAAUUCCUGAGUUCUUUAAUUACUUUUAUUUACAUUCAAGUUAUUUAUUGGAUUCCCGCUUGCAUCAAGUGCUCUAGUCUUUAUAACGCUAGAGUAGUAAUUAAUAGAUUAGACGUGGUGUUUAGUUUUGCAAUUACCUGGAAUUGCACCCAAUCCUGCGGAUUGUUGUGGUAGCCUUAGGGUAGUGACAGCCCUAACGGUCGACGUAUUCCACCUCGUUCAGAUCGGUGUUUGUAGGACCGUAGUCAGACCUUCCUAGCCCCCUUCUCAUCUCUUUCUGUGGUUAGUGCUCUGAUGUCCCGAUAUAGAUAAUCUUGAAGUAAUUCUUGAUUCUUAGAUCAACUAGAGAACUCUCAGGAAACUUCCUCUCUUCCCACCAAAAAUAAUUAUAUAGUUAUCCUUGGGCGAUCUUGAUUCUUAAUUAGUACACUCACGUUCUCUGUGGAAAAUCGAUACUCUGGAAUACUCCCGGGUGAAAGCUACAUCGGUAUCCGUGCGAUUGCGGAUUUUUUUCUGUUUGCGUUUAAAAUACCCAACAAGCUUUCUGGCGCCGUUGCCGGGGAACGGUAGCUGUGCUAGUUUCGAACCAAGUCGUCCGUGUAUCCUUUUUCUUUUCCUUUUUUACCACACUCACCUUAUCACUUUCACCAUACCACAUGGAUUUCACUCUAAGCAUUAAUGAGCAUGGAAUUUAUUUCAUAGCCUCUUCACUUACUCCAUGCUCAUAUGCAACAUCUUCACAAUCCAUUGGUCUCUCCAACAUCACCACAUUCGAGAUCUCCAACCCCCUAUUCCUUUCUAUUCAUAAAAACUUUAAAAGGGCGGUUGUCGAUGCAUAUGUCUAUAAUAAAUUUUGCAGAUCUCGUUGAGUUGAUCUUGAUAUAGGUCAGCGUUGGAGGGGAAACCACUUCACUAACAUAAAUUGAUGGUUUCCCAAGGACAAGCUUAGUGUCCUAAAACAAGCACUGAUCAGAUUGUAACAUGAGCUUUUAAUUAUUGGCAACAUUACCUUGUGUGUUGAGCAUAUAAGGAUAAUUGUAAAAAUAUUCCUUCGGGUAUUCUUGUCACUAACCUUUCUAGGAUUGGAGCAAGAAGAUCGGAUGAAUGACAAGCACAAGGUAUGUCCAACCAAUCAUCAUACAACAUGAAUUAAAUUCAUCCAAACUUGAAUUUUGCAAAAUUCAAGCUUGGGGGAGUACUUUACAUAAAAACAUCCUUUGCCAUGUUGCUAUGUUGGUUGUCCCUACCUUUGAGACUUGCUCAAUUCAUUAAAUAUUAAUCACACUACUUCAUCUCCACUUGAGUAGAUCUUUAUAAAUGCUCUCAUGCUACCUUUAUUUGCUUUAGUAUAUGUCUAGGUUUGGAGUAGUUUCAUUUAUCUCUUAUUUAAGCAUGGUGCUUAGUUUAGGGCUGAUGAUCUUACUUCCAGAGGAUUUUAAAUUAAGCAUGAUGCUUAGGUUAAAAUUCCCUCCUAAAUCAAAUUAGACAUGGUGUCUAGGUUGAUCUUUGAGCCGAUAGUAUGCUAUAGUAGAUAUUGGAUAUUUUGUUGGACUAACCCCUGCAGGAAAACUUUCACUAUCAACCUGGGAAGUCCUGAGAUACACUCACAUUGGAGACAAAGAGAGAGACACAUGAAGUUUAACAAUUUACACGAGGAAGGCAUAGCUCACAAGAGAUGAUCCAUGGAGGGUGCCACAAACACAAUGCACAACUACUAAGAGAGGAAAUCUUCCACAAGGUGAUACUGUACCAUCACUCUUCAAGUAAGGCAACAUCUUAAGGUACUUGGCUAUCACUUCUAUAAGCUUCUCCUUGGUUCUGGCAUUCACAUGAAUAAACGAGACAAACAUGUAUGAUUUACAACUCUAGAUUAACCAACCCAAUCGAUUCAACAUGUUUAGUCCUUCCACAUUUGUGAUCCCACACUCCUAAUCUUAUGAGCUAAAUCUUUGGAAGAUAUAUAUAUAAAAAAACAACAUAAAUAUAGAUAGAUUAUCUUUCCAUUAGGUUGAGCAAUUUGAUCUGACAAAUGUUUUAAAUGUUAUACUCAUGAUUUUAUUAUCCAUCAACUUUGUCUUGCUCACUAUGCUUAAGGAUAGAGAAGAAUAAAUACACUUUUGGUUCUGUUGGUGUUUUCCUCCAACAGGGCCCAUGCACUUGAUCUCUGCCUUGUCUCUAUGAGCAGGUACACUUCAAGCAAACUAUGAAGGACUUUUACAACUCCCAGACUCUACCAAGUGAAGAACCUAGAUCUACGAGCACAAACACACUGGAGAUACUGGACACUCAGGCAAUCACUGCCCUGAGAUGCUUGAGGACGUAACUACUGGAGUAACCCCAUUGUGGAAGUAACUACUGACGUUCUGCCGGUCAAGAGAGACAACCCAGGAUGCCCCAUCAUCUCGAUCUCCAUGGGCAUGGUAGACUUCCCAGAAGCACUCUGUGACUUUGGCUCCAGCGUCAACAUUAUGCCCAGGGUACUCUAUGAAAAAUUCUUUACACAUCCUUUAUUAGAAACAACCAUGUGUUUGCAGCUUGCAGAUCGGACACUAAGUUUCCCAAAGGGAAUAUUGAAGAACCUCUGCGUCCGAGUUGGUACCUUGUACGCCCCAGCAGACUUCGUGGUGAUAGAGACUGGUACUAAUGAGAGGGCACCCAUCAUCCUAGGGAGGCCAUUCCUAAACACUUCGGGAGCUAUCAUCUACGCUAGUGCUGCCAAGAUCAGUUUCUACAUCAAGGGGAGGAAGGAGACGUUUUCCUUCAAGAACAAGACUAUACAAAUCUCAGAGCAUUCCCGACAUAAAACAAGGAAGAGGACCAACAGGAGGAACAGGAACAAGCAAAUGUGGACCAAGUCAGCAAAGAUGGUCACUGUAGUUCAAGGAGGUCAAGAUCGUCGACUUAAGUCACCGUUCCUAACCAAAAAGGACGACCCAAGUAUGCCAAGUAUCCAGUGCUCCAUUGAUGGAUACAACUUCCAGAAGAUACUUUGCGACACCGGGUCAGGCGUCAACAUAAUGGCCGCCAGUCACCUAUCAGCUCGUAUUCGGAACCAUGCCCCUAAAACCGACAUACAUUCAGCUUCAGAUGGCAGAUCACACAUUCUGAAAGGUUAUUAUCAUGGUAGAAGACGAAUUCGAUCCACUCGUCAUCAUUGGGAGACUGUUCCUCAGCACCGUUAAAGCAAUCUUCUACAUUGGAACCAGAGAAGUCCACAUGCACUUCCCCUCAGAGAAGGUACGCCACUGUUUUACUGACCCUAACUAUAUAGUUGAAGACUCUAAGCAGGUCAGGACAAGAAGAUGACGACGUAACCGCAACCAGAGAAGGCAAAUCAUCAAGGACGGAUGGGUAGACUAUGAUGGAGAAGUGGUAAUAUCUGAAGACAUACUGCUUGAACAGAACUGUCCUGAGGAGACCGUAGCACCGAGUCAGGUGUGUAGAGAGAAGACAGUUAUACAUGAAGAAGAAGCGCCGCCGGAACCACCGACUACGCCAUCCAGCAAAUCCUAGGACGACUAAGAAAAUGGAGAGUCCCGUUCGGAGGACUUAAAAACACCGAACGCCUUGCCAAGAGGUAAACUUGGUAAUUAUCCAUUCCCUUUCAAUUAUUUAAAAUAGUUUGCUUAGUUAAUCAGGUUCAUAUCAUCUUGAAAAGAAAAUAAAAAUAUUAAAAAAUAGUAAGCCCCAUGUGAGUAUGCUCAUGGCAUAAAACCCAUAAGUACAUUCACUGUGAUGGCAUAAAUAUGAAAUAAAUAUAUUCCUAUCCUAUAAAAAUAAAAUUAUAAAAAUAAAUUUAUGAUCCUACUAAAGAGAGUAACAUUUAUUGAGGAGGCUCAACAUGAUAAAGGCCAGAUAUUUAUGCUAACACUUAACUAGUUCCACAAAGCUUUGUUUUCUAUUUGAGCUCCAUAGAAUUCAAGGAUCAAAGAAGACUAGCAGAGGGAGGACAUCCUACUCGCUGUCAGGGCGCUGCUGACAUUCAAAUACACCUCCGCCACGUGCUAGCUACAUCAGAAGAAAUUACGUCAAAAUCCAGCUUGGGGGAGAGCACCCCCAUUUAUCCAGCUAAGUGUUUCUACUCACGUUUAUACUUUACUCAAAUAAUAAAAAGAUGCAUAAUUAUAAAAACCCAAAUAAAAAUUUUGUGCUUAUAUAUAUCUUUGCUUAGUUUGCUAAAUAAAUAAAUAAAUAAAGUUUUCUAUGAACCCUCAUGAUAAGCUCUCACAUGGAAAUAGUUGCUCUGCCAUGGCUAGUUCUCAAAAUUGAAAUCUCUCUCAAGUUUAGGCAUGACUGGUAUUAAUUAAGAUUUGCUCUAAACCUGAAAUUGUGGGGAGAGUACUUGAUCUGAAGUCUAAGUCGUUAACGGAUAUGAUAUGGGAAGGUUGAGCUGCUGUUUAUCUGUUCUUAGAGAUGCUAGAAUUCUGGAGAAUUUUAUCUUUGAAAAUCUUUAAAAUGUUGCAUGAUGAGUUCCUGUAUGAUGAGAGUUUAAUUUCCUACCAUAGCCAUAUAUACAUGCUUAUUAGACUAUGAACCAUACAUUUACUUUUUACUGCUUAUGAGCAUUGAGUGUGGUCAAGCUGUGUAGACCCUUAGGAGCUUGUCAUGUGGUUAAGUCAAGAUUCACUUGCACGUUCACUCACACAUGCUGCUUCUACUCUGGAAGUAUGCAACCACAUAUAUCCACCCAUUUCCAUCUCCAGAACUACCCAAAAAUAUUUUACUCCUAAUCCGGGAGAGAAUAGCCAAAAAGAUUUCUGUUUUUCCCUGUGAAAUAAAUGCUCAAGUUAUCUUGGUUACUACCACUUGCUAUAUUGUUUCAAGAGAUGAGUGCUCUAGAAAAAAAAGAAAGAAUACGAGGAAUUAAAAAGGGGCAAGUGCCCAGAACCUCGAAAGAAAAAAAAGUGAGACGAGAGGUAAAAAUGGACAAGUGUCCGAUAGUAGAAUUAGGGGUACAAGAUACCCACCUGAGAGAAAAGAAAAAAAAUAUAGAGCAUCUCAUUCUCCUCAAAAAGUUUCAAAAGAGCAAGAAAGGUAUGUAUCCCAUCAAAAGAGCACAAGUAGAAUUAGACUUUCACCAUUGUUAUCACCAUCAUCACCAUACACCAUUCAUUCGCCACACAUGCACAUCUUGAUUUGACUUAUUGACUUGUUCUUCUGGAUCCAUGGUUUGACUAUGCAAUAAAUGUCUUGUAAGUAUGUAUUAGCUAUCUCCCACCUAUGAGCCCCAGAUAUCAAAAACCUUAUUAGAGUAGGGUGAGAGAGAAGGCAUUGCUACUAUGCCUCAUACCAAAAAUACCACAUACUUUGAGAGAAGGCAUACACCAUUACUGCCUUGGUAAGGAUCCAGAAAUACCACAAAAGAGAGACUAGAGAGAGUCAUACAAGGAAUCUCUGUGUUUUAUUUGAAAAUAUGAAAAAAACUCCAGAGCUAUAGUUAAUCGAAGAACAAGAGACAUGGCGCUUGACUAGACCGUUCUAUCUUUUAAAUGCUCAAGACACAAGUGACGGUUACAAGCCCCAUGGUGGAAGGUAAUAUGACUAAGUUUAAAUCUUAACAGUUUACCCUAACCCAGAGAUGAGAUCUUGUUUGAACGCAUGUAUAUCUUUAAGGCAUGAAACCACUGCAGAAACUCUUGAGAUCAUCUUUGCUCAGGGACGAGCAAAGGUUAAGCUUGGGGGAGCUUGUUGACGGUCCUUAAUGCUCACAUUUAACCAUCAACUAAUCAUGGAAAAGGAUCCAAAUGCAACCAACACCUAGACUUAGGGUUUUAUCUGACAGAAUUCCACGAGUUUUGGUGUUGGUCUAUUUCUACAGGGGGUUAUCAGGAAAUAAGGAAGAAAGGCCCACACGUCGGGUUUACAUAGAGAUAUUAACGUGCCGCGCAAUUUUCUACCAUCUAGAAGACUCCAGAAGCCACGGGAACGAACGGGAGGCCGAUCGGGCCUGGGGGCAGGGUGCCCGCCCAAGUCCCUUGGGUGCCCGCCCAGCUACAGUAACCAAUCAGCUUAAACUUCGCUGAUCGUGCUCCACCGACCUAAGGGACCAAGGAAAAUCAUGCGAUUAAUGUCGGUUUGAUCCGACGGCCCAGAUUCAUCUAAAAAGACUAUAUAAGCAUGGCCCCCUGGCCCCUGGAGAGUAUACCUCUUCUACAGAAUCAAAGCUAGGGUUUCAAUUCUUCAUCCAAGUAGAGAGGAUCCCUCUAGUUCUUCUAGUUCUACCUCUAGUUCAUCUAGAUCUAGUUCUAGUUCAUCUAGUUCUAGUUCUAGUUCCUCUAGUUCUAGUUCUAGUUAGUUCUAGUUGUAAUCUAGAAAAUAGGGAGAGAGAAGAGGAGAGCGGAGGAGGAGCCGGAUCUGUCGGAUCUUCCUCAACAUUAUACUUUUGC
rnacentral:lncRNA from 1 species